GGAGGAACAAGUAUCCCUGUGGUCAGAGAUGAGCAAUGGAGAAAUCUGCUCAGGCUGCUCCGAGGGAACAAUUUUGACAAGAAACAUGAUUUAGAAAGAAAUCUACAAAAGAUGAACCACACAUUCUGGCUCUAUAAAAUUUCGGCUGAAUGGGUAAGUGCAGAAUUUCUUAAAAACUCGAUUAAAAUGGCUUGAAAAGAAUUUACUAACAUUGGCUAUUGUAAUUCCAACCAAGUCACCAUUAUAUGCCUCAUUCUUUUAGAAUGUAGUAGAAUUGUGGUGGAUUUUUUAUGCAUUAAGUGUUGAAAAAAAAGACUGAAUUGAAAUAUUGAAUACAUGUGACCUGAAUUGUAACCUUGGAUUCUUCGCCAAUGUGGACAAGUUACUUAAUCAUGGGGCUCAUUACUUUAUUUUUAUGGUAUUGGUUGAUUUAUCUGUAUAUUUCAAAAGUUGGAAUGUAAGGACCCUAAUACUCUUUGUAAAGUUUUAAAAUACAAGUUUAGAUGUUUCAGAAUUCUUUCUUUUCUUCCAAUUUUAAAUAAUCUCCUUUCAUGCACAGCUUGUAACAUAGUGAUAUUUGAUUUUUUUUAUCACUAAGAGAUGGGAAAGAGAUGUGUGUAGUUGGAAAUGUGAUUGACCUUAGGCAUAGGAAGACUUCAAAGCAACCUGCAAUUUCAUCAUUAGUGGUUCAUCCCUCAGUGUUAAGACAUUACAUAUCCAUUAAGACCCUGGUUCAACUACAGAUACAUAUGGGAGAUGUUGAACAUGGAAUAAUUAAAGUCUACCAUAAAUUAAUUUACCAGGAUAGCUAGCUGGUUCCUAAAGACAUGACUGUGGGACACUUAGAUUUUAUUCUGGCAUAGUCACUUGGGAUAUACUUAGAGGUAAGACCCGGCUACAUGUUAACAUGACAGAGGGUACACAUAUCAAUAAAAUGGAGGCUUGCAUUAGGGGGACUUGGUCGUUGUGUCCUGGUCAUUUGUCUUGGUUUACACCUGUGCCCAAGUAUCUUACCUUAUUAUCCUAUUCCCAAUCUUGCUUUCUUCUAAAAUUCUCUCCCUGCCAUUUCCAGGAUGCUCCUUCUGAAACAUAGAACAGUUUAAUAAGCAAACUCUGUUGGAUGGAGACUUUAGGAAAACAUCAUGUGGAAGCCAAGGAGAACAGCAAACCGAGGUGAACGAAAUCACCCUAAAGCAAUUAAAAUUAUGAGCCUUGGAUUAUAAUUUAUUGCAAAUGGUACAUUUGGGGCCUCAGGAGUUUUUUAUAGUAAGGGUCAGAUUGGUAGCCAGAGGGAUAUAGAAGGGAAAACUCCCCAUAUUAAUACUCCCUUCCUUCAAAGAAGGAGAAAUAAGAUUUAAAAGCAAGUUUUAUGAUGUUGCAGAGAAUAUGUGUAUUUCUUAGUUUGGGAGACAAUCUCCAUAGUCCAUCCUACCCCAUUCUCUGUCUUGCUACUCUUUCCUUCCAUGACAACCAUCUUGAAUUACUUGAAUUUCCCCCAACAGAAUGUCCUUGUUGCCUCUGUUCCUUAGUACAUGAUAUUAGAGUUGCCUGAAUAACUCUUCCCACCUUUUCCUUUUAUACCUCAUUAGCUCUUCACUAAUUUUUAUAAUUACAGCUAAAAUAUCUUCUAUUUGAGGAUUCCUUGGAUUCACCAAAACAGAGUAAUCAUUUUUCCUUUGUCCCAUUUCUUUAUAUGAUACAUACUUUAAUUACUUCAAUUAUACACUUUAUUGCAAAUAGGUGAUUAAAUAUCUGCUCCUUGAUGACAGAACCUGUGUCAUAUUUCUCUUAACAUUCAUAGUUCUUUGCAUUAUGUGGGAUAUGUAUCAGAGACUCAGUAAAUCUUUGCCUAGUACAAGUGACCGAGUUUUGAAAGUACUCGUUUUAUAACUGUCAGUGAUAAGAGAACUUAUAUUUCUUAGUUUAACAUUGAGGAAUAACUGAUGAGGGAUUCAAAUUACUCACUUUAUUAUUUUCUUUACUCUCUUGACCUUUAAAAUGUUAUUAAAAAUUCAGACACUUUAGAAUAUUCAUAUGUUUCCAAAGUUGGCAAUUAGACAACUGUUAAAUUGGUCCCACUGUGUGCCAUAGACUGGAUUCCCUGGGAAACAAAAGCUGAGGGGGAAAUUUCUAUGCAAACUAUUUAUUGCAGAAUGCUACUCUGAACAAUUCCUGUGAGGAAAGAGAGAAGCCGAAUGUGUAGAGAGAGAAGUUGAAAUAUGGUGCAAUUGCACCAAGGCCUUCGUUCAUCUCAAGGGGAAUUCUAGAGCUUGUAUGAACAUUCAGAGAUGUCUGAAGUGGAGGCCAAGGGGCCAUGCUUCCACAUAGAUCAGUCCUUUGAUUGGGAUACUCCAGAGAAGGAGUGUAAUCCUGGGUGAGACCACAUCCUCCUCUGAGGACAAUUCGUAGAGAGGUCUAAGUUGUGACAUCUCAGCAGCCAACACUCCCAGCAGCUGGAGAGUGCCUCAGCUGUGGAAGGCAGAUUUGGGUGGUAAACCACAGCAUUUCCUAUUCUGACGUUCUUAGAGUUCUUCUAAUAAUGAAUGUUUGGCUAGUCCUUUACCUGGGCCUCAGUUUCUAAUGAAGUUGAUGAAUUCUAAUGAGUAGGUAGGACUAGCUGGUAUUGGAAGCUCUUUCCAUUCCUUCUACAGUGCAGUUCUCUGCUAUUCUUAAUGUACUCUUCAACUCUUUGUUACUGUAGCCACUGGCUUUUAUCUUAUUUUUAUGAGCAGCAGCUUCACAAAAAUAAUUGGAAAAGGUAAUCAUUUAGAACCACACUAAAGCAGAUAGCUCACAAAUAAGUACAAUUAAGCUAUUGUGUUUAUUUACAGGCUGCUGUUAAGAUAAUUAAAGAAGGAAAGUAAUAUUGUGUUUAGACAGAAACAGUGGGAGGAAGAGGUUGGGCUUGUAGAACAAAUUAAGCCACAGAAUAUGCUUUACUGAAAAAUAUGACUCUUAUCAACAUAUGUUUUCACUUAACUGCACUGACUAAAGCAAUUUUAAAUGAUAGUGACUCCUUCUGGCUCUUUAUAUCCAUCACUUUCUUGUUCUCUCUGCAACAUUUUUAAAUUUUUUUUUCAACGUUUUUAUUUAUUUUUGGGACAGAGAGAGACAGAGCAUGAACGGGGGAGGGGCAGAGAGAGAGGGAGACACAGAACCGGAAACAGGCUCCAGGCUCCGAGCCAUCAGCCCAGAGCCUGACGCGGGGCUCAAACUCACGGGCCGCGAGAUCGUGACCUGGCUGAAGUCGGACGCUUAACCGACUGCGCCACCCAGGCGCCCCACUGCAACAUUUUUAAUAAGCAAACUCUGUUGGAUGGAGACUUUAGGAAAACAUCAUGUGGAAGCCAAGGAGAAUAGCAAACCGAGGUGAACGAAAUCACCCUAAAGCAAUUAAAAUUAUGAGCCUUGGAUUAUAAUUUAUUGCAAAUGGUACAUUUGGGGCCUCAGGAGUUUUUUAUAGUAAGGGUCAGAUUGGUAGCCAGAGGGAUAUAGAAGGGAAAACUCCCCAUAUUAAUACUCCCUUCCUUCAAAGAAGGAGAAAUAAGAUUUAAAAGCAAGUUUUAUGAUAUUGACAUAGGAGCUGUAUAUGUGUGUGUGUGUGUGUGUGUGUGUGUGUGUGUGUGUGCAUAUGAUUUGCUUUAUUUAUUUUGCUCUAGGCAUUAUUUAUUCCAUUUAACCCAUCCGUUUCAUUAGAAACACUACUAGAGCAGUCUUAUAUUGUCAGUGCUAAACUCUAAUUGGAGAUCAUAACAGGUCCCAGAGGAAUCUAGAUGUAUGGUGUCUCUAAAAUUGUUGUUUUAAAUGUAUGUCAGUUUUUCUUUUCUCAAAGUCAUAUCUUUCCACCACUGUAAAACUUUGUGUGUGUGCGUGUAUGUGUAAAUAAUAAUGUAUUUUAAAGUGUCUCUGUAAAGACAUCUCUGUGUUCAUCUCAACUACAUUGCCUCAAGACCUGUCUCAGCAGAGUCUCAUUUAUAAAAGAAAAUACAAGUCAGAAAUUAAAAAUAAAAGGCUUGAAAGGAAAGGUGUAUUUUACAUGAAAGUGGAAAAACAGAAAAAUGCUUGGCAUGACACAUGGUAAAUUGUCCUAAUUUCUCCCUUCUCAUCAGAGUCCCCAAAACCUAUCUGUCACUGGAGCUGCUCCCCAAGUAGCUGUCAAUCCUUCAUUCCCAGUGUCCUCCCCAUCCUGGUCUCUGCUGGCUCUCCUGUCUCCUCCCACUCUUCCCUCCUAACUGUGGGUUUUAUUCCAUUCUGACGUAUACAUGCCAGGCAAUUCCAUUUAGCCUUUUUCUUUUUGUUGCAACUCUUUCCAUCAAGCAAGACAAUAAAAGGCAAAGAAACCUGCUAAUGAAAUCCGCAUUAUACCACAAAUAGAGUGCACAAGACAGGGUUUUGAGUAACCAAAUAUUGCUAUUUCAGUAUCUAUUACAUAUAAUUUUGCCUGCUGUUAGUAUCCUACAAAUUUUACACUAAUUAGCCAUCCAGUGUAAAGGCCAAUAAAGGAGAAUUAUAUUUUCAAAAUAUCUUUCAGAGAAGAGAUGGUGUGUGAUGAUAUCCUAUGGGUUGGUUACAAUAGGAUGAUAUAAUAGAACAUUUCCAGAAAGCAUCCAUAUUAAGGAAGAUUUCUAAGAGCAGAUCUGGAUGGUUGAGUUAAUGUAGAAGAGAUGGCCACAGUGCUUUUCCAUCUGCAAAGAUUAUCCUCAUAAUUGAUCCUACUUCCUCUAGAAUGGAUUUACUGAACUGACUAGUUUAGAUGUAUAUAUUUAAAAUUCUCAACAUAUGUUUUAUAUAAUUCCUUUUACAAUAUUGGAAUAAACCAAUUUUUUAGUCUUAGCUGAUGCCAUCUUUCCUUCUGUUUAAGUAUGUCUCAUUUAUCUCUUCUCUCUGUCAUAAAAUUUAUUUUAUUUGUUUCUGUCUCAGUGGUCUUUGAACUGUUAUCCUCUCUCAUAGAUGAGGACAAUUAAAUUCAAAAAAGUUAAGGGCACAUUGAUCAGUACACUCUAGAAUAGCUGAGCAAAGUUACUAAAUUGUUGUUUUUAAAUCUUCAAAUCUAGUACUGUGUUCAUAAUACCUCAUAAUUCCAUUCAAAAGUGCAUAACCAGUACAUAAGCCACAAGAAUAGGCUGUGACUAAAUGUUCCACAUAAAAGAAGUACGGGAGUUGAUGGAAUUGGUAUGAGAGGUGGGGAAGCUGAAUAAAGAGACUUGUCACAUAUAUAGCAUUUCUCCCUGUAGUAGAGAUGGUUUUUGAAGUGUGGACUGCCUUUAACAUAAAAUAAACAGAAGGUUUACAUAACAGGUUUAUUUCCGAUGCAUCAAGCACUAUGGCAUAUGCACAUCAGGGUGGAGGUAGAGGGCUCUUUAAUCCAAUACUGCUGGUCUUGUCAGGACUGUUAAGCAGAUAUGUUCUCAUAUUUCCUGCUUUGAGAACUGGGUCUAGUUGUAUGGUAAGAAUUUUGGAACCAUAUACAUACAUGUGCUAUCAAAUGAUUUCUGUAUCUCAAACUGUUUUUAUCCCCAAUGUUCUUUAAAAUUUUACAUCUGCUUGUGGCUAGAAAAUGUAUUUCAAGAAAUAUUUGUCUCCAUUCCAGACCAUUCCCUCAGUUCUCUGGCAUUAAUUCUCCUUUCCUUCCAUGAUACUUUUUCAUGAGAUAGGAUCAAAAGCCUUUUCCUUUAUUGCUCUUGGCAUCUGGAGGAAACUUCUUGCAUUUCUCUGCAUCAUUGACGCUAUCUCUUCUUCUUUUCAUAUAGUUCUUGAAAGUCUCUUCUCUCUUGCCUAAAGCUCUCUUAAUUUUCUUCUCCCUUUGUGGUUAUUUAACUGUGUAAUUGUAUUACUUAAGUUUAUAAAUCAUUUUGAGAUUCUGUGUAAGUCACAGUGUGAAUAAAAUGCUCAUUGAAUUGGGUUUGUGAGUUCAAUGGAAAGUUGUACUUAAACAGAAGUUGCAGUAAGUUGGAUUAUUUCCUGAUCUUUAAUGUUUGCAAUUUAAACUAACAUGGUACAUGAAAGGAAAAAUUUCUCCGACAUUAUCGACCUAAACUUCUCUAUUUUGCAUAUACAAUUGAUUCUUCAUCAAACAUGUUAACUGUCCUCCUCCUUAUUUUAGUGAGUUCUUCUAACCAUUGUAAUAUAUUUUAUGUUAUUUGGAAACAGCUUGUUAUGAUAUUACAUAACAUUAGUUUCCAAUUUACUGAGUCAUAUAUAAUCCAUAGUAACAAUGAUAAAUAGUUUUGCUGUUUAUUCUGGUGUUACUUUUAGGGUUAUUUCCUGUUAUGGAUACUACUAGUUGUCUACCCAUUAUCUGUUUCCUCUGGUUUCCUGAUCAACAGAAUUUCCAUUUGCUCGAGGAGCAAGGUGACCAGCUGCUCCCUACAUUCUUCGGCAGUUAGGUGUGCCUAGGAACUGGUUCUGGUCAAUGAGCUAGAAACAGAAAUUGCUUGGGAGAGGUGUUUGAAAAAAUGUUUUAAAAGGGACAAAGUCAUUUGACUUCUGCCUGGUGCAAUUUGCCCUUUGACCUUUCCCAUUCUUAUUCUUUUUCAUUCUACCUGUGGAGAAAGAAAACUAAUGCCUAUAGAUUCAGAAAUUAGGCUGUGAGCCUGAGGAAAACAAUCACACACUAAAAAUGGUAGAGCUGAAAUAAAGAAAAAAUCUGGGUCACUGGUGACAUUAGGGAUCUGCCAUACCAACUUUGGACAACUUACCUGAAAACUUCUUAAUAGAUGAGAAAAGAUCACCCCUAAUUCUUUUAGGCGAACAGUUAGGUUUCAGUUUCACAUAUCUGCAUGUAAAAUUCGAGUAUUAUAUUGUCAUAAUUGGGACAGGUUAAGGGCUCUACUCAAAUUGAGCAACAUAGGAGACAGAUAAUAUCUUACUUGAGGAGACUGCCCUGACCUCUCUUUGAAUCUCCACAACCUAUCAGGUCUUCGUUGAAUACUUCUACUAUGCUUUAGUGGCACUGUUGCUUACCUCUGUCAUAUGCUUUAUAAUAUAGAUUUAUAGCUGCUCCUUUGACUUUCGUCACUUCUUAGAUCAGAUUGCCUCCACGAGCUGGCAGCUGGUGUCACUUGGAAAUUGGGCUAGAGCAUUAUAUUCCCAAAUUGGAAUAUAUUGCUUACAAAAGCCAAAGAGGUCUACUUAGAUAUUAUGAUUUUUUCUUAGUAAUGGAAGAUGCAAGUGGCAAUAAUUUGUCCUUUCAUUUGUCCUGUUAUACCCAGAAGCACUAGAUGUUUUUCAAGCUUAUAUAUUUUGAGAGAGAAAGAAAGCGCACAAGAGAGAGCGAGCACAUGAGUGGGGGAGGGACAGAGAGGGAAAGAGAGAGAAUCCCAAGCAGGCUCUACACUGCCAGCACAGAGCCUGAUGCAGAGCUUGAAUUCACCAACCAUAACAUCAUGACCUGAGCUGGAGUCAAUAGCUGGAUGCUUACCUGACUGCGCCACCCAGGUGCCCCAGUAGUACUAGAUUUUUUAAGAUUAUGCUUUCCUCCUUCAAUCAGUAGAUCACGGGUUUGAAAAUUGGCUCACUACCAGCAGCUUGGCAAAGGAUUGUGACUUGUUGGGGUGAUGGCAACCCUUAACCUUCUGACAAUCUAUUUGACUGCCCAUCUAUCGUGACCAUGGGGCACAGUGUUUUAUUACUUAUUUUGGUAACUUUCUUCGAUCCAAGUUCUCAUGGUGUAGGUUCAGAGAGUUCAAGGUAUUAUAGAACCUCAGUGUUUUGAAUUUAUCAUCCUAUAUAUACUCAAUUCUAUGUUUUAGGGUCCCCAUCUUUCUCCACCCAGGACGAUGAUCUUAACAGACCAUACUUGCUGGGGCAGGGAUUUCAACUUUCCCUGGAGCUAUGAAACUCUAGUAAUUAUGUCCUGGGCCUGACCCUCAGCUUUUUUUGGCCUGCGGUUGCAGGAGAUGAGAGUUUUGUUAUGCUGUUCAUUACGCUGCCACGGAGCUACUCUAAUUUUCACACUUUACCUUCACUUGGUGAUUCAACAACCUGAACUUUUCAGUCUUUCUCAAUAUUCCUGGGUCAUUCAGCAAAGGUCACCAGAUUCCUAUUGCCUAUAUAGUUAAUAUUUUGUAUAUACUCUUAAAAGCCCGCGAUACUGUAUUGGCUAGUAUUGUUUCUUUUACCAGUAUCCUAUCCCAGCUUACCCCUCAUGAAAAUGCUGAUAGUUGCACUCCUACAACAUUCCGAGAGCAAUUAGUGUUCCACAUACACUAAUGAUGACACUUCAUUGCCCUGCAGCUGGCUCCAAAUCUCCAUUCUCUCAGACAUGACAUCCUCCUGGUAUCAAUUCUCUCAGUUUGUGUUUUCCAUGAAAUAGACUCUGAGAUGGAGAUUUUUGUGCAAGGAGUUUGUCAGAGGAGCCCUCGGAAGCAAUAUCAACUGGGAGAUGAGGGUAUAGGUUUUGGUAAAGGAAAGAGUUACGGUGCAAAUCAGUGACAGUGCAGGCUUCAACCAAAUCCUCAGGACUUCCUGGGAUACUACUUCACAGUUAUUUGCCUUCAGGCAAGGGAGGCAGAAUUUUAUUCACCCAUAACAACUACUCAUUGGAUGUGGACUACCUCAGGGGAAGGGGUAUGAUAUUACAUCAAACAGGUUUCUUCAGCUAAGGGAAAUUCUCAGAGAGGGAUCCAGGGAAGAGUCAACAACCCUCCCAGCAGCUGGAAAAAUGAGUGCUUUGUGUAUAAAAGAGAGAGCUGGGCAUAGCAUUAAUUGCACUCUGACUGGACCCUGAGCUUCUUAAGUCAAUGAAUGUGACUUAUUCAUCUUUACACACUCCGAGCCUAAAACAAUGCCUGACAUUUAGUAGGAGAUUAACAACUUCCUGCUAAAUGAACAUAAUACUAGUAUUUAUUAACUGACUAGGACACUUGCUUAUUAAUCAAAGAUUUGAAACAGUUAUUUACCAUUUUUAUUUAAAUAGAAGAAAAUAUGAAGAGUUUUUCUUUGAGUUUAUUGAUACCAAAGCUAUUCACUCAUCCACUAUUCAUUAUCUGAACACAUACUUGUGGAGUUUUUUAACAUGAAUAACACAUUGAGGCAAAUAAUUUCCUUUAAUAAAACAUCUAUUUUGGCCAUCUCAUUUUGUUAAAGAAAAUAGCUAGCUCCCCUUUUCUUUUUUUAUAGCCUCCUUUGAAAAGGCAGCAUGCAAAUUGGUGGUGUUUCCUGCCCUGUAGGUCUCCACUAGCCAUUAUCAUGAUAAUCUCUGCUCUUGAAUGGCUAACAUUUAUUGUAUAGAGGAAAAUGAUAAUUGUUGUAGUAGCCACUCCCAUUACACCUGUGUGUUUAGAAGCUUUAUCCUAUUUUGAGUUCAAUACAGACUAGAAAUAGGAACAAUAACAAUUUAAAAUACAAUCUUUGGGGCACCUGCUGACUCAGUCAGUAGGGCAUGCGAUUCUUUCUCACAGUCCUGUGUUCAAGUCCCACAUUGGGCAUGGAGCCUCAUUUAAAAAAAUAAUAAUAAUUUAAAAUAAAAAAGAUACUCCUUUCUGACUUUUCAGUUGUAAUUCUUCAGCUGUAGCAUAUGCCGAUAUAAGUGUAUAAAUAAUGUGUUUCUUCCUAGAAAUGAAACUAUUUCGUAACAUCUUUUCUACAAGUUACAAUCAAAAUACUGCAAUAGUGGAUACUUGUUCACCUGUAUCUGUCUGAGAGAUCAGUGGCACAUCAUUGUCCUGACAAUUGGCUAGAAUUAUAUGAUGACUUUCAUCAAUCACCUUAUAGCAUUUGUCAUUGGUUUAUCACUCAGACUACCUAGAUUGAAAGAUAUGCCAUGCAGCUACUCAAAUAUAGAAAUUGUUUAAAAGUAGGUCUUAUUUUCCCUACUAUAAUAGACUAUUGUUUUAGUAAACAUAUAGUUUACUAACUCCCUAAAGUAGAUGGUUCCUAGAGCAAAUUCCGUUAAAAAGAAGCAAAAUUAUGAUAAUCUCAAUGCUUCUCUUCCACCAGAUUUCCUUAUCUUUCUCAAACAUGUUAAAAGAAGAAUUACCAAUCAGAGCCCCCUGGGUGGUUCAGCCGGUAAAGCCUGUGACUUCGGCCAGGUCAUGAUAUCGCGGUUUGUGAGUUUGAGCCCCACAUCAAGCUCUGUGGUGACAGCUCAGAGCUUGGAGCCUGCUUCAGAUUCUGUGUCUCCCUCUCUCUCUUCCCUACCCCGCUCGCAUUCUGUCUCUCUCUCUCUCUCUCAAAAUAAACAAACAUUAAAAAAAUGUUUUAAAAUAAAGAAUUACCACUUUGACCCAUUAUAAACACCCAAUCAAAUUAAAGACAUAUAAAUACUUUAGAUUGGUAGAUUGUUUCUGCCAAUAUGGUAGAAAGCAAAAUGGGUAUUCCUUUGAUUGACAUGUCCUAUGUUUUUGUUGACAAAACCACUUGAGGCAACAUGUGUUGCAAGAGUGGGGAGUAUUCAGGUCUAUAACAUACUCCAUUUAUGAGAUAAUGACAUAUGAAUUUAUUAUCUUAUAAAUGAUUAAUUUUCAAAAGUAUUUCAGUCUCCUGCACUGUUUCUUCCCACUUCUCAGCUAUAAUCUUAUCCCGGAGUUGCCAUUUUCAUUCAUUCAGUGAUUUAAAUAAUCACUCUGUUUCUGGAAAUCUGCAUAACUUUGGGUAUUAAAAUAUGAAAAAUCCAUGUUGUUAACACAGAUAAUGUGGCUUUGGAGACUAUAAUUUUGUUUUGCCUAAAUCAAUAACAGAAGUAGCUAUAAAAUAUUUAAAAAUAGUCUAAUCCAUGUGUAUCGGAUGUCCCAUGUUUAGCUGUCCCUUUCUUAUUUUAUUCCUUUUUAGUGAAAAUUGUCAAUAACAGAGAGUCUUACUGUAGGUAUCUUGGUAUCUACAAAAAUUUUAUUGAUCUUCUUCAGUGAUUCCAACAUUGAUUUUCAUAGGAACCACCUAGGGAUUGUGCUAAAAUGUGGAUUCUCAUUCAGAAAGUCUGGGAUACGGCCUGAGAAUCUGAAUUUGUAACAAGUUCCAGAUGACAUCAAUUCUGCUGAUCUAUGGAACAUACUUCAGUAACAAAAGUCUAGUUGAUAUGUUCUCCCACUGACAAAUUAUAGUUAAAGAACCAUUAACAACUUGCCUGUGAGAAAUUAAACGAUUGAUAAAACAUCACUCAUUCCCAGCAAAGAAAAAAAAACUAAGAAAAUUAUCUCAGAAGACUGGAUACAAAAUAUAUUUGAGUAAAUGUAUAAAUUGAAAAGAAAAUAUAAGGGACAAUAACUCCAAGGGAACAUAAAAGUUCAAGAUUACCAAAAGCUCUAGCCAACUUCAUUCAUGUGUGCUCUCUCUUGAAACUGAUUUCAGUUCUCGGAAAUGGUCAGUGUGGACAUCUUUAUUGGUAUCAUCUUGAUGUUAUUUCUGAGAUGUUUAAUGAGAGCUAGAAGUAUAUCAUAGAAACAGAGGGGUGUUAAAUGGGAGGAUUUGAAGCAAAGUUUUCCAUUUUGAGUUUAAAAGAGAGAUAUUUAAUAUUUGGACAAAGCUAAGUGAAAUUCUUAUUCAAACAUUGCUACAAAUACACUUAUCCUUGGAGAAAUCACUUUAUUUUUAGGUCUAUCAUUUUCUAAUCUAAAAUAUGGAAGUCUUAUAUUGGAUAGUCUCAAAAAUCCUUUCCAACUUUAAUAGUCAAUGAUGUUAUUUAUGAUUCUGGUAUAUUUUCAUGGAGUCAUUUAAUGGCCUAGUUCCUGAACUCCCACAAAAUAUGUUUCUUAGCUGUAGAGACAGAUGCCAGCCAACACCAGCAUAUGGCAAAACAUCAGAUUUCUUUCUUUCCAGUCUUUUCAAACUCAAGCUACAUUUUAAUUCCCCAAUAAGUAACUAAUUCUCUAUCCAACUUUUGCUUCCAACAUCACUCACCAAAUGAAUCCCAAAUUGCUUGUUCUGACAUGCUCAGCUAAAUGUUAAUACUUACAUGGUCAACCUUAAUCCAAACUUUUCUUUUUUUUUUUAAAUUUUUUUUUUCAACGUUUAUUCAUUUUUGGGACAGAGAGAGACAGAGCAUGAACGGGGGAGGGGCAGAGAGAGAGGGAGACACAGAAUCAGAAACAGGCUCCAGGCUCUGAGCCAUCAGCCCAGAGCCUGGCGCGGGGCUCGAACUCCCGGACCGCGAGAUCGUGACCUGGCUGAAGUCGGACGCUCAACCGACUGCGCCACCCAGGCGCCCCUAAUCCAAACUUUUCAAGUUCACUCCUAAACUGCUGGAGAUCAUAAUGAAACACAGACCAUCUAUUAUAGUUUCUUAGAAUUAAACAAUCAGAAUAAUGAAUAUUUUGGGUUUGAAACAAAUGCAACAAAUAUAGUAAUAAUAAUAACCUAACAUGAGUUAAAAAUACAGAUAAAAUUGAAAAUUCUUGAACCACAUUAAAAGCCAGUAAUUAUGAAACUUUACAAAAUGAUGAUUCAAUUCACACGCACACGCACACACACACACACACACUACUUUCUGCUCAAUGCUUUAAAAGUACAGAAUUUAUGUAUUUAAAUACAAUUGAAUCUUAGAAGAUUGCCUUAUAGGGCACCGGGUGGCUCAGUUGGUUAAGUGCCGAACUUUAGCUCAGGUCAUGAUUUUAUGGUUCCUAAGUUCAAACCCCAUAUAGGGCUCUGUGCUGACAGAUCGGAGCCUGGAGCCUGCUUUGAAUGCUGUGUCUCCCUCUCUGUCAACUCUUCCCCCACUCGUGCUCUGUCUCUUUGUCUCAAAAAUAAAUAAACAUUAAAGAAAUUAAUAAAAAGAAAGAUUGACUUAUACCUGACGUUUUAGAAAUACAUCAUGAUAUAAAGUAAAGCAACAUUUGUAUAAUAAAAGAGAAACUGUCUUCCUGUGAGGUAUAGGCAAGUAAAGGGAAAUCUGGAAUUAAUGGAAGAUACAAACGAAGGAAUAUAUUUGAGUUUAGGAGUUAGGGAUUAAGUGAGCAAGCAUGACACUGUUGCUAAUACAGUAUACUAACAAUCAAAUGUUAGGUAAGCUGAUCAACGAAUUAAGUUUUUACUGUAAUUUUAAUUUUUAAAAUAAUCGAGAAUAAAACUAAUACUGAAUGCACUGUGAGAAGAUGAUUACAGUAGACUAUUAAUUCUCCACAAGAUACCUUUAAGUUUACAUUUGAUGAAGCUAAUCCUGAUACACUGACACUUACUACUAUGCUUGCAUUAAGUUUUCUUGUUUAUAAUUCAUAUAAACUUCUACAUUCCAGAAGGGAUUGGGUUGCCUUUCAAAACAUAUUUAGAUAUUUAAGAAUAAAGGUAAAACCUAAAAAUGUCAGCUAUGUAAAGAAAUGGAUGAUAUAGAAUAACAUCUUAAUUAUCUGCCAAUGGUUGAAUGAAUAAAGAAAAUGUGUGGGCCACCUGCAUGGCUCAAUCGGUUAAGUGUCUGACUUCGACUCAGGUCAUGAUCUCAUGGUUCAUGAGUUCGAGCCCCAUGUCGGGCUCUGUGCUGACAGCUCAGAGCCUGGAGCCUGCUUUGGAUUGUGUGUCUCCUCUCUCUCUCUGCAACCUCCCCUCACACUUUGUCUCUUUCUCUCAAAAAUAAACAUUAAAAAUUUUUAAUAAAAAACAUCUGAAGAAAAUGUGAUACAUACACACACAGAGAAAUAUUAUUAAUUUCUUUUUUAAAUGCAAAUCCUGUCAUUUGAAAUAACAUGGAUGAACCAGAAGGGCAUUAUAAGCCAAACAGAGAAAGAGAAAUACUGCAUGGGAUCACUUACAUGUGGAAUAAAAAAAGAGUCAAAUUUAUAGAAAUAAAGAGUAGAAAAGUGCAGUUGCCAGGGUCUGGGGGGUAAAAGAAAUAGGGAGAGAUUGGAAAAAGGGUACAAAGUCAGUUAUAAGAUGAAUAAGUUCUGAGGAUCUGAUGUAUAACACUGUGUAAUAUCAUUAACAUUUUCUCUAAGAGAGUAGAACAAAAUGUUCUCAUACACACACAUACAAAAGUAAAUAUGUGAGGUAAUGGAUGUGUUUAUUAACUCAAUGGGGAAAAUUCUUUCACAAUGUGUAUGUAUAUCAAAUCAUCACAUUGUGCACUUUAAGUAUCUUGCAAUAUAUAUGUCAGUUAUAACUCAAUAAAGCUGAAAAAAUUCGAAAAAAGUGUAUCCAAAAUAAAUACAGAACUAAGAGGUUAUAAACUGGUGGUGAUUGAAGGAUAAUGCAGAAGGAAUAAGGGCAUUAAUUAUACAACAGAUAAAGAAUAAACAGACCUUGUUUAAAGUGUAGUAUAAAACAGUCUUGUUGGAGAAUGGAGAUAUUUUUGUUCCAUUAAAAGAAUAAAAGGAGUGAUAUUAACCAGUGAUUUAAAAAAUGAAAUAAUUAUGCAAUCAUUUUAGCCCCAAACUUUCUGGCAAUGAACACACAAGUAAGACUAGAUAGGUUGAAAGCACACCUCAGAUCACAGACUGCAUACCUAUAUACUCCAGGAGACAUAAAACUGUUCAUGAAUAAAUAAAAUAGUAAAAAUGUAUUAUACAUUUUCCUUAUAAUGAUUAUUGAAUAAUAUAGUAGAAAGUUCUGAAGAAGCUAAAAAAUGUCUCUCUUAUAGCUGUUUCUCAUACACAUUCUUAAUAAAUGCAAAAGCAGUGGUAAAAAAUUGAAUUUCAUUUCUGGGAAGGUGGCAGAACAGGAAGCACCAGAAAUCUAUCCCCCACCAAUAUAACAGCUGUAUUGGAAGAAUCUCUCUGAUGUCACUGGUUUGGAAUUCAGGAGUCUACUAAAGGUUCACAACUUCCAUGAAGAGGCUUGAAUGAUAAAUUGUGGCUAAUUUUAGUCAAUUUCAGGUCUUAGCACAGUAGUAGCUACCCAUUCCCCAAGCAUUAUCCCUUUGGAAGGCAACUGUGCAUGUGGUCCCAGAGCAGCCUAUACACAGCUUGUGGAGCCAGAGUGGGCAGAAAAGACCCUGUCAUCCAAAUAUCAUGUAUCUAUCUUCUGAUCACUGAUUGCUGCUUGUAAUCAUAGAGAUGAGGACAAUAAGGGAGCAUCCACUGUUGUCCUACUUCUGCCAUUGUUACAAGUUAUUUCUCUUGGGCUGAGUGACUACAUUCAAGAAGAAUUUCCCCUGAAUAUAUAGGGGAAAUUAGAAAGACACUGCACAUACCCAGGGGAAGGUAUAGGCUCAUAAAAGAACUGAGAAGACCUCAGGUUUAUACCUUAGGCACAGAGGCUGUAUACAAAAAUUAAACAACAGCAACAACAACAACAACAAACCAUGGGAAAGGGGAGAAUCUAAUUUCCAGAAUUACCAAAUUAUUAGGUUCAAAUAUUCAGUUUUUAACAAAAGAUCACAAGGAAAACAAGGAAACAGGAAAGCAUAGCUCAUUCAAAGAAAGAAAAAUAAAACCAGAGAAAGACACCACAUGAAAGGAAAACUAUACACCAAUAUCCUUAAUGAAAAUUGAUGGAAACAUCCUGAAAAAAUGCUAGCUAACCGAAUUCAGAAGCAUAUUAUACACCAGGACCAAGUAGUAUUUAUUCCUGGAAUGCAAAGAUGGUUCAACAUAGCAAAAUCAAUCAGUAUAAUACACCAUAUCAACAGAAUAUAAGGUGGGAAAAGGCACAUGAUCAUCCUAAAUGAUACAGAAAAAAAAUUUGAGAAAGUUCAAUUCACUUUCAUGACUAAAAACACUCAACAAAUGAUGAAUAGAUGGAAAUUACCUCAAUACAAUAAAAACCAUACAUGAAAAACCCACAGUAUAUAUCAUACUUAAAGACAAAAGACUAAAAGCUUUUGAAAGAUGCCUGCUUUCUCUACUUCUAUUAAAAGUAGUAUUGUGGGGCACCUGGGUGGCUCAGUCGAUUGGACAUCUGACUUCAGCUCGGGUCAUGAUCUCACAGCUCGUGAGUGUGAGCCCCACGUCGGGCUCUGUUCUGAUAGCUCAGAGCCUGGAGUCUGCUUUGGCCUCUAUGUCCCUCUCUCUCUUUGCCCAUCCCUCACACAUGUUCUGUCUCUCUCUCUCAAGAAUAAAUAAAACAUUAAAAAAAUUUUUUUUAAGUAGUAUUGGAAGUCCUAGUCAGAGCAAUCAGUCAAGGAAAAGAAAUAAAGACAUUCAAAUUGGAAAGGAAGAAUUAAAUGACCUGUGUACAUAGAUCAUAUGAUCUUACAUGUGAGAAACUCUACAAUAUGCAGAAAAAAUGUUGUAAUUAAUAGUGAAUUCAGUAAAGUAUCAGGGUACAAAACCAACACAUGCAAAUCAGUUGCAUUUAUAUACAGUAACAAUGAAUAAUCUAAAAAAAAAUUUAAAAUAUCAUCAAAAAUAAUAACAAACUUAGGAAUUAACUUAACCAAGGAGGUAAAAGGCUGUACAAUAAAAGUUACAGAACAUUUCUAAAGAAAUUAAAAGAGGGGCGCCUGGGUGGCUUGGUCGGUUAAGCGUCCGACUUCGGCUCAGGUCAUGGUCUCACUGUCCGUGAGUUCGAGCCCCACAUCGGGCUCUGUGCUGACAGCUCAGAGCCUGGAGCCUGUUUCAGAUUCUGUGUCUCCCUCUCUCUCUGCCCCUCCCCUGUUCAUGCUCUGUCUCUCUCUGUCUCAAAAAUAAAUAAAUGUUAAAAAAAAAUUUAAAAAAAAGAAAUUAAAAGAGACACAAAUAAAUGGAAAGACAUUAAUUGUUCAUAGACUGAAAGACUUUCAUAUUGCUAAGAUGUCAGUACUAUCCAAAAUGAUCAACAGAUUUAAUGCAAUCUCUGUAAAAAUAUCAAUAACUUUGUUUUUGCAGAAAUAGAAACACCCAUCCUCAAAUUCACAUGGAAUUUCAUGUGACACUGAAGAGAAAAAAAUAAUCCUGAAAAAAUAAGAACAAAGCUGAAAGACACACACUUUUUAUUUCAAAACUUACUACAAAGCUAAAGUAAGAAAGCAAUGUGUUUGACCUAAAGAAAAACAUAUAGACCAAUGUAAUAGAACAAAGUCCAUAGGGAAACCUUCAUGUAUAUGGCCAAGUGGUUUUUAAUAAGAGUACAAAGACCAUUUGGUGGGAAAAAGGACAGUCUUUUCAAUAAAUGGUUCUGGGAAAAAAUAGAAAAACUGGACUUCAUGAAAAUUUUUAAAUUUUGUGCAUCAAAUGACACUAUCAACAGAAUAGACAAUACACAGAGAAGGAGAAAAUAUUUCCAAAUCAUAUUCCUGAUAAGGGAUUAAUAUCCAAAAUGCAUGAAGAACCCCUAAAACUCAACAAUAGGAAAACAAACAGCUUGACUUAAAAAAAUGAGCAAGGAAUUUAAAUAGAUAUUUCUCCAAAGAAGAUACACAAAUGACCAAUAAAGUCUCAUGAAAAGUUGUUAAACAUCACCAAUCAUUGGGGAGAUGCAAAUAAAAACUACAAUGAAACAUCUCUUUAUAUCUAUGAAGAUAGCUAGUAUGAAAACAAACAGAAAAUUAUGAGUGUUGACAAGGAUGUGGAGAAAUUGGAAGUUUGUGCACCAUUGGUAGGAAUUUAAAAUGAGAGCUGCUUUGGAAGUUUCCUGAAAAAAUUGAAAAGAAGAAUACUAUAUAAUCCAGCAAUUCCACUUCUGGGUAUAUACUCAAAAGAAUUGAAGGAUCUCAAAGAAAUAGUGUGUACCCAUGUUCAUAGUGGUAUUAUUCACCUAUACUUGAUUCUUGGAUGACAUGGAAGGUAAUGACAGGCCUUGUGUAGAGUCCCUUGAGACUUGUCUAAGUAUGAAAGAUCUCCCCAAACUCUCUGACUUCUCCAGUACUUUAUUGUAACAUGGGAGAACAUCUGUAUGUCCUCUUGCUCCUUUGGAAUGGAAUGUGGACGUUGGCUAGCAGAGAGAUAGUGAUUUGGCGAUUACUCCACUGAAUUAGCAAGGGUGUUUAGAACCAGCUCUAGCAAAGAGAAGAACAUACCAGAAAAUGACUGAGUUUUAAACCUGACUGAGAUAACUUAUAAAUCCUGAACUUGAGAGGGUUUUCUGUAAGCAUCUAGAAUAAGUUUUCUGUAUCAGACAGAAUGGUGGCUUAAAAUAGACAUUUUAGUUUAGUUGUAAAACAUAAAUUUCAGUACAUUCAAGUCUGUGGUUUAGUAAAUGUGUAGCCACUACAAGGACAUAAAGUGAAAUGAACAACUGCAAAGGUAAAGGCAAUUAAUUGCCUUGCUUGUUACUUACUGGAUUUGUCUGACGUCCUUUGGCAUUAGUUCAAAAAAGCAGACCUACUAGAAAUGUACUCUAUGAUCAGGAGAUUUUAGUCUAAGAAUAGAUUAUACGGGUCUUAACUAGUCGGACUUGCACUGCUGUGUUAAUGCCAGAGAAGGGAUAGCACUACGUCUGAUGCACACUUACUUCUACUUUCUCUUACAAGACAUUCAGACAUGUGUUAUACACAAUGUUGUAGUUGGAGACUUUGAGACAUAGAGCUACUAAGGACCCUCUCUUGAAACCUACACAUGUAAUCCUACAGCUCCUACAACUAACUGAAAAUUUUAUCCUGUCAAGCUCAGCUCUCCAUUUGAUUAUUCUCUGAUUAAAAAAAAAAAAAAUGAUUCUGGUCACUAUCAAGCUAAUACUGGACUUCUGGCUGUUGUCCACAGAUCUGCAGAAAAACACCCUAGUUUUAUAUUGAAAGAACAGGACCAGUCCUAGGGCAGGUAUUGGGAUUUAAAAAAAAAUCUUAUUUUUGGUAACUUCCCACCUCCACCUUAGCCUACCAAGGAAGAAAUAUCCUUAUUUAGAAUGGCUUUUAAAAUUGUUGGGAGGAGUUACUGCCCUGGUCUCUCUAGGUGGGAGACAAAUUGUCAGUUGAAAUCCCAGCCACAUAACUGUCUUCUAUAUUUCUGAAAUGUUUAAUGUAGGGCUUUUUUUUUAUAAAAAAGAAAAUUUUGUUGAAAAUAUUUUAAACUACACUACUGAAUCAUGACUAUGUGGAUUUGACUGAACAAUAAACUGAGUUCUGUUGUGAGUAGCAUGCUACGAAGAGCCCUAAGAAUUGGGCUGCUGUCAGUUCUUCAUCCCUCUACCAUGAAUUAAAAUUUUUAAUUUGCUGGAGCUGAGGGGAUUAUCUCUGUCUUCAUGGUAGCUACAUUCCUUUCUUUGCCUGGCCAUCUUCAGUUCCUGAGGUUAAUGGCUUUCUAUCUAUCCACAUUCAAAUUGAUUACAGAAAUGUGAAACUUUUGCUCUACAACUGUUCAAAAUGCCUACAUCAGUACAGCUGUAUUUGUAUAAUUCUAACUCUGUUGCUACUUGUUAGGUACUAAUUUUUCAUUAUUGGAGAUUUACUUUUUUUUUUAAUUUAUUUACUAGAGAUUUGCUUUCUUUUAGUGUUUUCUUACAGAAAUGCUUCAUAUAGUUGCUCAUGGUCUUAAGAAGGGAAGCAUUUUUCAGUCCUGUUUCCUCUUGGCUUUUGCAGGGGUCUGUCUCUUUACCUUCUGCAUGACAUCUGGGGUCUUUCAAAAAAAUUUUUUUAAUGUUUAUUUAUUUUGGAGAGAGACAGAAUGCAAGCAGGGGAGGGUCAGACAGAGAGGGAGACAGAAUCCAAAGCAAGCUCUAGGCUCUGAGCUGUCAGCAUGGAGCCUGACACGGAGCUUGAACCCACAAACUGGGAGAUCAUGACCUGAGUUGAAGUCGGCCGCUUAACCGACUGAGCCACCCAGGCGCCCCAGCAUCACAUCUGUGGUCUUUAAUUCAGUGACGCUCAACACCACCCACCCAGAGGCUCCCACUGAAACAGAUCAUUCCAGGAUGCUUCCUUCUUCCUCUCUUCCACCCUAUUAAUUUUUGAGCUUUAUUGUUUACAUUUUCUAAAUAUUUCCCCUAUCUGUGCGUUGUUUUCUAUCUUCUGCCCUAAUUCAGGUUCUCAUCAAUGCUCAGCUGAAAUUUUGUAAUAUUAUUUUGACUUAAUUCAGAGUGUCACCAGAGUAACCUUUCGAGCAAGAAAAUCUAAUAGUGUUACUCUCCUGCUCUGAAUAAUUUGUGGUUCCCCAUUGCCUCCUUGUUUAUAUUAUGUUACUCUUGCUUUUUAGACUCCAGCCAUAUUAAAUUCCUUGUUGGCUCCAUGCUCUCUCAUACCUUCUUGUCUUUGCAUAAUGUUUUUGUUGCAUGAAAGUCACAGCUCAAAUUUAGCAAAUUCCUAAACAUGAUUUAGAUCUUAGCUCAAUUUACCUCUUCUGAGAAGCCUUCUCUAACUCCCCUAGGCAAACUAAGCUGCUUCUGCUUCUUUUUCUACACUACCAUUUCCAUUCCCAUCAAAGCAGUCAUUAUAUUUAUUACGGGUUUGUUUCCCCUCUGACUCCCUAGCAACAUCCCACGUUUACAUUGACAAUUGGAGAGAUUAAGUAAUUUGCCUAAGGCCACCUAGCUUGGUAGUAAUAGAGCAAAAAUUGGAAUCCAGAUGGUCUGAAAAAUCAGGAGUUUAGCCCAGGAGUUAUGCCAGCUACUGUCAUCCAUUAUGGAAUUGACUGGUUCCUGAAUGCUAUAUGAUCUGCUCUGUCAGGACAGGUAGGCUGAAGCUUUAUUACGCUUUGUCAGUAAGUAAUGAGAUUUUGGACUGAAAAAGGCUUCCCGCUAGGCUACAAUCAUCUAUCUAUUUAAGGAUUUCCCUGUGUUUUCUCUAAUAACUGAUCUUUCUGGCCAAAACAUUUUGGGCUUUUUCUGUUUGACCAUUGGAUGCCUUUUCUGUUCAGACUAGUUUAACAACCUCAAACUCUUCCCUCUCCCGAAGGUCUCUCUAACUCUCCAGAACUCAACAAUUAUUCUGAGCUUCAUUUCCAUCAUUCUUACUCAAACCACACUGCCAACUAAUUGUGAAAAAAAAUUUGUGAGCCUAAAGGGUCAGUUAAGUACAAUUUGCAUUAUAAUAGGAAAUUCUUGAAAAUAAAAGCCUUUAAGAUCAAGAAGUAUGGGUCUGUUUGUAGAAUGACAGAUGGUAGGUUUAAAAAAUAUAUUAUCCAGAACUUGUCUUGAAUCACAAUGAUUAGAUUAGAUAAGUUUCUUCCUGAAUGAAGUUGGUCCUGCUUAGAAAUUGACUUUUAACCCUGAAAAGCUUACUAGCAGGGUAUAGGUAUGAAAACGUGACACUUUCUUCCAAUAUUUUCUUCCUCCUAAAAAUAGCUCAUAGAUAUAUGAGUGGCUCCAAUUCUUAAAUUUGCUAGUGAGUUACUUCUAUUUCAGAGACAGGAAGAAACAUAAAGUUACUGUUGAUCCAAACUACCUAGCAAGAGCUUCUGAAUUCACUUUACCUCGCUAAAAUUCACAUCACUUCAUUACAUUUCAUUGUUUAAAAAUUAUCUGCUAUGAUCUCAUCCUCCAUUGAACUUACAGAACCAAUGAAAAAUUAAUCAUGGGCUGCCUUCUUACAUUUCUUGUAAAGUUCAAAACCAUAUGUAAUCUAGUAGUCAUUUGUAGACCCCAACUUUAACACAGUGUUCUAUCAAUCUUUUGAUUGACAGAAGAGUUUCACUACAUUGACCGUUAAACAGCUUUGAGAUAGUAAAACGAAGAGAAGAAAGAUUCCCUCUUUGCAAAACUCAGAAAUCUAGUAUAAUAAAGAGGGACAUAGCACAACUUCUUCCCAAACCAUGAAGCACAGACAAGAACUUGUUGUUACAUUUAAACAUUGUGGAGCUAUGAAAUAAUUUGUUGUUCAUCAUGGUUCAUGAGAACAUCAUUCAAAGUCAACACUAACAACAUUCUAAUAACUUCUAAUACUUCACUUGGGAAAAUGUAAAAUAGAAUGAGUAACCUGUUUUUAAACUGUAAAUUAAAAAUACAGAGCCUGCUUGGGGUUCUUUCUAACCCUCUACCUCCCCCUCCUCCAUUCAAGCUCGUACUCUCUCAAAAUAAAUAAAUUUUAAAAUUUUUUGAGAAAAAACUAAGCUUAAGUCACAGCUGGCAGGUCACAUGGAGUUUAGUGGCAUUGUUUUUGUUGUUGUUGUUGUUGUUUUUUUAGGUCAUAUGGAGCUGAGAAUAUGUAGAUGAGUGGGAGAAGAUGCAGAGAGAGAACAAAAGUGCAAUUACAAAAACAAGUUUCUUCCCCUCUCGGCCACUUGAAAUUGGUUGAAAUUUUCUGUGUAAUCUUUGCUAUAAACAUUAAGUUGAAACAUUAACCUCUCUCUGAGAGACCAGAAUGUAGAGCCAAAGUGGCCAUAUUUCACGAUGCAUAUGUUGAUCUGGGAGAGGAGAUGUUGUGACAGAAAAGAAUGACAUUUCCCUUCAAGUGGACGGUGAGAUUGAGAAACCAGGCUGCCAUUGGAAGAUUAGUGUUACUGCCAUCAGGAGACUGCAUACAAUACUUAUUUUUACUCAAGUACAAGCUACAGUUUUAUAUCUUUUUACAGUUGUGCUUUUUCGUUUCUCUAGGAUGAGAUACCCUGCCAUCUUCCUUAAUCCUCUUGUAUUCAUCCUUCAAAACUUGAUUAAAAACCACAUCUGAAAAGAUUUCUGCUAAUGCAUUUCCUCUUAUUGUGCAUGUUGUUUUCUUUAUAUAAUAAAGUGUAGGUUAUUUGAAAGUUAUGACUGUUUUUUUCAUCUUUGUAUCUGAUGAAUGUGUUCUAUAAAUAUUUAUCUAAUGAAUACAUUCUCAGAGAUUGAACAUAUUUUUGGUUCACUGAAAAUUAGUUUUACCAUUUCUAACAAAAUUCUCAAGUUACCUUUGCAUAAUUUUGACCUAAGUAAUUGGAACAAGUUCUCUUGAAGUAAAUAUUCUACAUUUAUUUUAAUGCUGCUUUAUCUAAUGUACCAUUUAUUUCUCCCUUCUUUAUUUUGUUUUUAAUUUUUUUCCUUUGUUGCUAUCUUCUUUGUUUUGUUUAAAUAUAUUAACAAAGGACCUACUCAAAUCAAACAGCUUUUCAAAACCACUUUAUAUAGUAUUACUAGAAGCUUAUUGUUUGUUCAAUUUUGGAUCAUUUCAGAAGUUAAAAUCUUAUAGAACUAGUCUUUAUUGCAUAGGGAGGAAAGUGUGAGGUUUUUACUAUUGUUGUUAGUGUCAGCUAACACAGUUUCUGACCUUCUAAAAGUUUAUUUUUGUUUUGCAAUAUACAAGCAUACUAUUGAAGUACAACCAUGACUCCUAUGUGUAUAAGUUAAACAAUCUAUUCUGUUCAGUACAACUUCUCGUAAAAUUUACUCUAUGUUGCGCUGUCGUAAAGCACUGUUAUUGAAGUUUCGAAUGAGAGAAACAGAUAGAGACCUUGAGGACAACAGCAGCACAUACAUAAACCUCUUUCUCAACUUGUAUAUUUUUUCUUGGAUACUGGCUACUAGUGGGUGAGAAACUCAAAUCUUAAAUCUGGUAGACGCUGCAAGAAAAUGUAUUCACUUAUUUAUGAACCUAAUGCUCUGAAAUGGCUUUUGGUCCAUGAUGUGUCAAUAAAUAUAGACCAAUUAAAAGUGGAGCACAUUACCUCAUUUAGCCCAUAGUUAAAGCAUGUAAUAUAUGCCUAGCUUGAUAAUGUAAUAUAAUCAUCGAAUCCUGCCAGGAUUAGUCCAAUAUGUUACUUUCUCUAAAAGACUCCUCAUCUAAAGCUUGUCUGAAGAAGUGACCUUUACAAUAAUGGCAGCAUCCAUUUCCAAAGAGUGAGAUGUUCUUGAUGAUCAUGGAUUGUCUGGUUUGAGAGAUUGUUUUAGGUCCUUUGAUUGUUCAGUUGGUUGAAUGAAAACAUAUGGAGGUUAGAGGUUCCAUACUUGAGAUUCUGAUGCAGUUGGUGUGACUUUGUCAUUAAGGUCUAGUUCAUAAAGGUCAAAUAUGCCUUGUAGAGGUAGAGAUGGUAUUAUUAGUCAACAUAUUGUUUUUAGCAUUUAGCACAAUAUGUGACAAAAAGCCAAGAAGAUGGAAAAAGUAUCAUUGUAAUCCAUUUCUUUUUUUUUUUUGGUUUCAAGAUUUUAAGUUUUAUUUUUUUUAAUUUUUUUAAUGUUUGUUUAUUUUUUUUAUAUAUAUAUGAAAUUUAUUGACAAAUUGGUUUCCAUACAACACCCAGUGCUCAUCCCAAAAAGGUGCCCUCCUCAAUACCCAUCACCCACCCUCCCCUCCCUCCCACCCCCCAUCAACCCUCAGUUUGUUCUCAGUUUUUAACAGUCUCUUAUGCUUUGGCUCUCUCCAUUUCUUUUGUUUAAUUCAACAAUUUCCUUAAGCAAGNNNNNNNNNNNNNNNNNNNNNNNNNNNNNNNNNNNNNNNNNNNNNNNNNNNNNNNNNNNNNNNNNNNNNNNNNNNNNNNNNNNNNNNNNNNNNNNNNNNNNNNNNNNNNNNNNNNNNNNNNNNNNNNNNNNNNNNNNNNNNNNNNNNNNNNNNNNNNNNNNNNNNNNNNNNNNNNNNNNNNNNNNNNNNNNNNNNNNNNNNNNNNNNNNNNNNNNNNNNNNNNNNNNNNNNNNNNNNNNNNNNNNNNNNNNNNNNNNNNNNNNNNNNNNNNNNNNNNNNNNNNNNNNNNNNNNNNNNNNNNNNNNNNNNNNNNNNNNNNNNNNNNNNNNNNNNNNNNNNNNNNNNNNNNNNNNNNNNNNNNNNNNNNNNNNNNNNNNNNNNNNNNNNNNNNNNNNNNNNNNNNNNNNNNNNNNNNNNNNNNNNNNNNNNNNNNNNNNNNNNNNNNNNNNNNNNNNNNNNNNNNNNNNNNNNNNNNNNNNNNNNNNNNNNNNNNNNNNNNNNNNNNNNNNNNNNNNNNNNNNNNNNNNNNNNNNNNNNNNNNNNNNNNNNNNNNNNNNNNNNNNNNNNNNNNNNNNNNNNNNNNNNNNNNNNNNNNNNNNNNNNNNNNNNNNNNNNNNNNNNNNNNNNNNNNNNNNNNNNNNNNNNNNNNNNNNNNNNNNNNNNNNNNNNNNNNNNNNNNNNNNNNNNNNNNNNNNNNNNNNNNNNNNNNNNNNNNNNNNNNNNNNNNNNNNNNNNNNNNNNNNNNNNNNNNNNNNNNNNNNNNNNNNNNNNNNNNNNNNNNNNNNNNNNNNNNNNNNNNNNNNNNNNNNNNNNNNNNNNNNNNNNNNNNNNNNNNNNNNNNNNNNNNNNNNNNNNNNNNNNNNNNNNNNNNNNNNNNNNNNNNNUAGUGAAUAAUUUAUUUUGUGUGCUUUUGAGAGUUUCAUAAAGGACUCUUAUAUAUAUACCCACACUUCAAGAUAAGGAUAUAUAUAUAUAUAUAUAUAUAUAUAUAUAUCUUUCACAUACCUUCAUGUGAGACUUCUGGUCUUUUCUAUGUACACCUGCUAGAUAUUACCAUGUUACUCCUGAGAAGGGUUGGAGCAAGGCAAUUUAUACCCCACAUAGAGGUGCUUCAAAGUUAAUGUUUUUCUACCUUUUUCAAUAUCUGAAAUUGUCAAAUAUUAUUUAUCUUGCAAAUCUGGGGCAUGCUAAAGAGUAUUUUCUGGUUGUUUUAAUUUACAUUUCCUUAGGAAGGUUGAAUAUACUUUAAAAUGUUUAUUGGUUAUUAGAAUUUCCUUUUCUGUGAAUUAUAAAUUUGCCUAUUUUUUAUAUUUAUUUUUUAACAUAUAAAUUGUAUUUGUAUAUUCUGUACACUAAUUCUGUCCCUGUUAUGUAUUACUGAAGUAUUCUUUUCCAGCCUACAUCUUGAAUUUUCAGUUUUUUAAUGGUAAUGUUCAUUGUGUGUGUGUGUGUGUGUGUGUGUGUGUAUUAUAGUCACAUUUACAUUUUAUUUAAUUUAUGAUCUGUGACUUUUGUGAUUGACUUAAGAACCUUUAUCCUGAGGCCCUAAAUAUGUGCUAUCUUUUGUUCUAAAAUUAUUGUAAUUUAUCUUUUCACUUUUGAGUCUUUUUCAGACAACCAUAAUUUAUUUUUAUAAAUCUAUAAUUUAUAUUUUAUAAUUUAUCUUUAUAAAUAUUUUAUUUCUUUUCUUAUAUAUGAAUACCCAGUUGUCUCACUCAACUUUCUAAGCUAAAUGAGCACUUUGGUUCUGAGUUAACUAGACUUUCAAGUGACCCCUGUCUCCUUCUUCCCUCUGCUCUGUCAACUUCUCCUCCAAAUUCACUUGAGACCCACACUUCAAGAUAAGGGUUCUCUAGACUCAUAAUGACAUUUCCAGAAUUGAUUGUUUUCUUAUUUUAGCCAUGGAUAGAGAAGGAUAGGCACUGAAAAGAGGAUAUCAGACCUCCAUCCUGAGAUAUAGUUCCUCGCAGGUAAUAAAUAAAGUCACUUCUCUCUAUGGAUCCAUCCCUAAACCUUGAGUGUGGCAACUGAACCGAUAUAGCUUUACUUUUUAUUUGGUCUUAUAAAAGCUUGGUAUAUCAAGUUCCAGUAACUGAAGAGACUGGAGUCUUUGCUCUCUGUUAUCAUCUAGUCGAAACUUCUCUAAACCACACAUAUAUGAUUUCUGAAAUCCUGUAAAGGUGACUUUAUAUGGUGCCCAAACUCUCUUUUCCCCAUUUCCCUUGGCUCCAUCCCCUAAAUUAUACUUAAACUAUAGGGUAAGCAGAAGAAGGGGUAUAAAGUUAUUUUUUUUCUUUUGCCAGCUAAUUUUGAUGCACAGAGAAAAUGGAAAAGCAUUGAUCUACAAGUUUCUGAUUUUUUUAAUGUGCUCUACUUGGCUCUCUGAAAAAUUAGAAAACAUAAAAAUGCCAAGCCAAUUUGCAACAUCAAUCUCUUUUUUCUCUCCCAGAGUGAUUCACAGUUUAUAAAUCAUCACAUUUUGUUCAAAAACCACCCCCCUUUUUUUGCAUUUAUACUACAUAGUGCAAAUUCUAUGUCUCUGAUCUCUUCUGCUUCUCCUCGCUCUUAUCUUUAAUGUCUUCUUGUGAACUAAGACAGCAGUUUUUCUCGGUUUUCUUUUUAAAAGACUCAUAACAUGUGUUCUUUAGCCACCACACAAAUGUUUGAAUGUUUGCAUACUACCAGGGAGGAAAAGUAAUAUCGCCUCUACCCCCUGAGUUCUAAACUGAGACCCUUGUAAUAAAACACAGGUUAAUAAGAGAAAAACAAACAGAAGUGUAUUAACAUGUAUACCUCUUGUAUUCAUGGGAGACACCCAGUGGAAAAAAAAUGAGUAACUCCUUGAGGUGGGUUAGAAUUUAGGAUUAAGUAGCAUCUUAUGAGAAAAAAGGUGAGGGAAGAUGUUGGCCUCAUAGGGGAGAGUCAGUGAUUUUUAGGAAAGAUGAAUGGGCUCUUAGAAGAAGAGGUAAGAAGUAUGAUAGUUUGUGACAAAGGUUGUUGGGUAUGACAUCCAUUUCUAUUUUCUUCUCCUGUGAUGAGUUGGUCCUUCCUGGUUGAUUGAACCCCUGAGCAGGGGAUUUAUGACAACUGAGCUCAUUUUGACAGCUUUGUCUUUAGGUAGAUAAGGGGAGUUCAGAGAAGCCUUCCCACAUUUGCUGCUUAUGAAGAUCCUGUGGCUGAAAAUAAUUAAUAUAACAAAGCGGUAUAUUUUGGAGUGGCGCAUUCUGCCCCCUUUCAAUACCAAUCACAUACAUCUCUCUAGCUUUUAAAACACAACUCUUUAACACACUAAGCUUCCACACCCAUACUCUUCCGUUUUAGGAAGUGUUCUUCAGAAAUCUGAGGUUCUUACCCUAUUAGAAAAUGUCAAGUGGUUUUCAGUUUAUUUUUAUUUGAGGAAUAGUAAAAGGAAAUAAUUAUUUUCAAGCCUCCUAUCUGGCACACUAGACAAGAGAAACUGGAAAGAAUAGCACUUUUUGUCUUGUCAUCAGUUUUCUGCCUUGGCCUUUAAAUUAUGGUUUAAGAGGCCAUCCUGCCAGGAGAGAUGAAAAGUUUGCUUUGUAGACUGAUCAAGCACGGGGAGACUCUGAGCAUAAUGGUAAGGUCCCGAGUGCUUCUGAGGUCACAGGAAGUGGCAGAUAUGCCCAGGAAAAGAGCUGAGCUAGGGGCAGAAAUCCCAGCAGAAUGAGGAAACAAUAGGUGAAAAGUAAAUUAUUCCCCAUAUGUGAUAUAAGAAUAAAUGGCUUAUUUUUCAAUAUUACUUCUCCAGAUCAGAGGAAAACUCACAGUUUGUUGCAGUGAUACAUGGUCUGCCUUGUUUGUUCAUCUGGCUCUCUCUGAUAAGAGUAAUAAAGCACGAAAUGAUUUUACAUACCCUGAUCUUUAAUCCUAAUUCCUGACCCAUCAAUGGCUCUUUUUUCACUACCUUUGUUUAAAACUGGCUAAAUGCGGUGCACCAGGGGAAGGCACGGAGAAGGCACGGAGUUUAUAGGCUGGAUGAAGCACCUUCUGUGUGGGUUUCACUACCUCUCCUUUCUACCAUUGCUACUCCACCGAAAAACUUGGCAGGUGGUUAGGGGCUCCUCAUCUUGUGUUCUGCCUCAUAGCAGGCUGUCUGUUUGGAUCUUCCUUCUGCUCUGACAUAGCAGCAGAGACAAUGGCCCAACAGAUGCUGAUAGUCAGCCUGGAUCAGCCUAUGUUGAUUUUAUGCUUAUUAGUCAGAGCUAGUCACAGCCAGCUGGUUGCUGUUUGCCUUGACUGAGCAGUAGAAAUACACACAACUGCAAUGGCUCCUUGUGUGUGUAUAUACAUAUAUAUAUAUACACACACACACACACACACACACCCAGGUGCUGGCUGCUGUCACAAUUCCUCCUAUAGCAUGAAGUGUAUUUCUUGAUUACUUACGUUUUGUUUUGUUUUCUUGGUUUUUCUUUAUGUGUUUUUUUAGCUUUGGGACAGGCAGAGAGGGAAAAGUAAGGACCCGGUUCAUAAUACAGAUAUAGUAAAAAGAGUCCCAGUAUUUGAAUCUGUGGUAACUGGAGAAAGAAGCUGGAAUUUAAUUUCGUUUGCUUAUUAGUGUUCUCUAAUAGCAGUGAGAAGCCAGUACAGAUUUUUAAAGGCCCAUAAGCAAGCUGCCUUUAAGGCAUAGCGAAUGAAAUGUUUCCUGGGCAGCCAGGUGUCAUGCUGGCUAGUGCUUCAAUAUCCACAACUUACUCCUUUAAUGGUCCCAGGAGUGAAAUGUUUUGAACUGGCCAGUAAGCACUGGGGGCUUGCGGUGACCUGCUCCACUUCAGAACUAGAUGCUGCGUGAAUGCUCUAGGCAUUGUCCUACCUCGUGGUGAAGGAAUACGGGAAGUCCUUUUCAGAGUCGCAAUUCAGUUGUCUGGUCUAGCUGAUGUUCUUGCCUGGAUCUAUAAAAUACUUACACUAAUUUUUUUUUAAUUUGAGUUUUUAAAUGGUUAGCUUGGAAAUAUAUCACCUCUUCUCCCUGCAGCUGUCUGUCCUUAGCAUUUUUUUCCUAUGUACCCCCUCUCCUAAACCGUUUACUCCUUCUUUCUUUUACUCCUUUAUUUUCAGUAAAUAAUAGUAUUUUUAAAGUAAGUACAUGUAAUUAUUCUCCUCACACACAUAUUGCCAUGAAAUCAUAUUGAAAAGGAAAUUGGAAUAGCUGAAAUAUGACCUGUUCCUUGAUUGUUCUUAGAUAUACCCUAGGCAGAUGGAAUGUUUGCUUUCUGUUCCAGCUUAGGAAAUAUGUGAGAUAGAUAUUAUAAAAUUAUUAAAGAUAUCCUUGUUCUAUACUUUAAUGAAUGAUUUUGAUAAAGAUAUAGUUGCUGUGCUUUUCAAAUUGGUGUAUCUUACAAAUAUAAAGAAUAGCAAAUAUAUUUCAUAUCAGAAUCAAGAUUUAAGAAUAGGUUAACAGACUAGAAUGGGCUCAAAACACUAAUUAAUACUUUGAUAAAUAUAAAUGUGAAAUUUCUCACCUUGAUUCAGAAAAAACAAUUGCUUAAUCAGUAUUGGAAUGAUAUGGAUUAAGAGGAUUUUUUAAAUUUUAUUUUUGAGAGAGAGGGGGUGUGGACUUACAAUCAGGAGAGGGGCAGAGGGAGAAGGAGAAAGAGAAUCUUAAGCAGGAUCCAUGCCCAGUAUGGAAAGGGAUGAUGCUGGGCUUGAUCUCAUGCCCAGGAGAUCAUGACCUGAGUUGAAAUCAAGAGCUGGACCCUAAACUGACUGAGCCACACAGGCAACCCUGGAUUAAGAGGAUUCUAGAUUAAAACUAGGAAAUGUGUAGUAAGAGUGUACCAUUUCCCAUUUCUUUGCUAAGGCAAACAUUUCUAAUAGCACUCUUUCCCUUGCAGCCAGGCUAAAAUUUGAGAUUUUCCCCAUUAGGACAAAUAGCAAUCGAUUAGAGUUGAUGCUGAAUUUAAAAUAUUGACGUAUAGGUCUUGGAUUCUGGGCCUGGGUCUGAUUUCACUGAUAUUAGGAAAAUAAGCCUUGGGACCUUAGUAAAAUUGUUUUCCCUCUCCAGUCUUCAGUUAUAAUUUCCUCAUUUGUGAAAAAGGAAUUUAGACUGUUUAAUUUUUAAAUUCUUUUCCAACUCUGAUAUUCUACGUGUUCUAUCAUUUUAUGAGUAAAUUGAAUGCUCAUCCAACAAAAUUGUGAUGCUCUAGAUUUAAAAUAAUGCAAUGUGAAACUGAAUUAGUUGGAAGGAAACAAGAUUUCUAAUGAGAAGUCGUAAGUGUGUAUGUAACUAGAUUUUCAUAUAAUUUCUUAAAUAUUAUGUUUGAAGAAUGACUUUAGUGAAUUGGAGAUCUAAGGGGAGGGAAGCUAGAUGGCAAAGAGUUUAGAAAAAUGUUACAAAAAUGUUUAGAAACAACUAGGUGUGUUUCAUCCCAAAAGAACAAAGAACAAAAGGAAAGAAGGGAGGAAGGAAGGAACAUGUGCACUGCUUUCUAAUUAUGAAUAACUGUUAAGUAAAAGAAACACUAAAUUUCUUCCUUUGGAAAUAUAAAUGGGGCCAAGUUUCAGGCAGGUAGGUUUGAUUCAAUAUAUGGAAUAAUUUUAUAUAUUAAAAAUUAUCCAACAAAGUAUAAGGCAAUCACAGGGUCUACUCCUAAUAAUGGCUGAAGAUUCUACAGAUUUCACUAUGAGUCAGGGACUCUUUUCAGUGAUUUACUCAUUUAAUGCCCUUGCUGACCCAAUGAGGUAGGUACUAUUAUUAUCUAUGUUUUUAAAGCAAAGAAAUGGCAGGCCACAAAAAUUGAGUAAUUUGUCCAAUAUUGCAAAAGUAGAUUUAGUGUGUUGCUCAAGGUGGCAAAAGGCAGGACUCACCACAAAGCCUUAGUCCGGAGCCUAGGUUGUUAAACACUAUUAAUAUUGUCCACACUAGAAGCUAAUAUUAGCUUGAUGUUCAUUGUCUAGAGAUAUUGAAGAAGAAAAUGGGAACCUGAAAUGUAUGAUGUCUAUAGCCCCUUCCCACUCUACAAUUAAUACUGAAUUAAGAUUGCCCAUACUUCACGCUUUGAGAUCAUGGAAAUACAGAUUUGACACAGUAUUUAAAAUUACAAUUUUUUUCUUUACAGUAUGAUUGACUAUAUUCCCUCUGCUGUAAUUUUCAUAACUUUAUAUAAUGUAAUUUUCACUUUCCUGAUGUUAUAGUUUAGUUUUAUUGGUACAGUUGCUGAAAAUAGCUCAAAAAAUGUAAAUGGUGGCAAUGUUAAUAUUAUAUGGAUAAAGCUAUCUAAUUUUUAUACAUCUUUUCUCCUGGUUUAAUGACUUUUGGUAACCUUAACUAGUAAAUUCAAGCUUAGAAAGGUAUGAAAUACAGAUAAAAAAGCAAGGUAAGAGAUGUUUUGGAAAAAAAAAUGUCACUGCUGCUUGAAGAAGUCUAUCAUAUAACAACAUCCUUUUCAUUAAAAAAAUGCAUCUGUAUUGCUUAGUGGCACUUAUACUGGUCAAAAUUAAUGUUAUUAAAAUUCAUGCUUACUUUUUUAUUGCUUACACUCACUAGCUGAAGCAACUAUGAAUAAUCCAUAAAGCUCAUGGAAAACCAAACUAAUGAAGACGUGAAGAUCCCAGAGAAACUCAAAGGUCUGGUCCUGCCAUUCCCCAUGUACAAGUAUUGCCUGUCACUCUAUUGCGAUACAUGGACCUCCAUUAGUUCCUCUGAACUUUCUAAGACACUUGUGAUCAAGCUUUUUCAAGUCUUGAAAAAGCUGCCUCGGAGCUUCUGGCUUCCGGACAGCCUCUGUCAAAGAAAAGAAAAUUCUACUUACUGAUUCCCCUUUCUACAUCUUUCAAAAUUAUAGGUACUUUAUUUUCUUUUGUUAUUUUUUCUUUCCUACACAAUUAAUUAAUAACUCAAUGAUAUUAAGUAAGAUCAUUAUAACUACAACUCAAUAUUAAUCCAGAGAAUGACAGAGACUUGCACUCUGUAAUCAGAUUGAGUCUGUCACUCGUGGUGCUGUAAUUCUUCUUCCCAACGCUUUUAUCUAUUCUGGAUCAUCAAUAAGCCUCAGUGACCUCUGUGGAUAAAGCUAGGGCCCAGAGCAUCAUUCAUCAAACUACUUCAUCUGUUGCUACUCAGAGACACAAGAGUAGGUUUUUGGCAUCUUUCCAAUAGAAGUAGGGUCCAUGUUAUGCUAUGUUAUAUAUUUAUUAUUUUUUAAUAUGGCCCUUAUUUUGUGUUGUAUUUUAUUCUCUGCUUUCUAUUUUUCUAACUUCUCGGGAGAUGCUUUCUCUGAAUUUUUAUAUCUAUGUUAUGUAUUUCUUUCUUUUACAUGUCCAUGCCAGUGUCUUUUGUUCACAAAUUAAAAUGUAUUAUGUGUUAUUUUUAUUAUGUAUAACUUACCAGCAUUUCCUCUCUUAAGAACUGAUCAAUAAAAGGUGAAGGAUAUGUGGUUUCUCCUCAGUCAAAAUAACAUUAACUUUGGUUGAUAUAUGAAUUUUGAUGAUAACAUUGGCCUGACACAGAUUGCUGAGAGAAUGAGUGGUGGAAACAACUUAGUGGAAGCAGUAUCCCCACUUCUAUUGUUUAUAAAGAAAGAAAUCAGUCUAUUAUUGGGAGAAUAAAGCUAAAACGAUGGAGUUUUCUCUGAAAGAUUUAUAUUUUAUAUACUAACAUUAGUUAAAUAUUAACAUUAUUGAAGUCAAGAAUAAGAGUCUUUGCAGUUGAGAAGCCCCACCCCAUACCUUGCAUGGUUGUUGGCCCCUAUUAAGUACCCAAGAAAUCAAUAACAUGAAUGGAUUAAUAAUUAAAUGAGUUUAUAAUAAGGUAUAAAAAGUCACUGUAUGGCUAUUAUUAUGUUCAGUUGGUAUGCUACAUAGAUUGUCAGAUCUGAAUUAUUAUUGUAUCAUAAAUUAUUAUAUCUAGAACCAGUCAGGAAAAACACAUGUGAUCUUAAUCUGCUUUUCUGAUGCUGUAUUAUAAAGAUAUUUUACUACAUUUUACUUUUUUUAUUAAGUUUAUUUAUUUUGAGAGAGAGAAAGGAAGCAAGCCAAGGAGGGACAGAGAAAGAGGGAGAGACAGAAUUCCAUGCAGGCGCCACACCAUCAGCCCAGAACCCAAUGCUGGGGUGGAUUCUAUAAACUGUGAGAUCAUUCACCUGAGCCAAGAUUGAGAGGUAGACACUUAACCAACUGAAUCACCCAGGGACCCCAAUAUUUUACUACAUUUUAAAAUAAAAACCUCUGCGGUGCUUGGUUGGCUCAGUCGGUUAAGUGUCCAACUUCGGCUCAGGUCAUGAUGUCAUGGUUCAUGAAUUUGAGCCCUGCAUCGGGCUGUGUGCUGACAACUCAGAGCCUGGAACCUGCUUCGGAUUCUGUGUCUCCCUGUCUUUCUUUGCCCUCCGCCGCUCGCACUCUUCUCUCUCUCUCUCUCUUUCUCUCAAUCUUGAAAAUAAAUCAACAUUAAAAAUUUUUUUUUUUAAUUUUUUUUCAACGUUUUUUAUUUAUUUUUGGGACAGAGAGAGACAGAGCAUGAACGGGGGAGGGGCAGAGAGAGGGAGACACAGAAUCGGAAACAGGCUCCAGGCUCCGAGCCAUCAGCCCAGAGCCCGACGCGGGGCUCGAACUCACGGACCGCGAGAUCGUGACCUGGCUGAAGUCGGACGCUUAACCGACUGCGCCACCCAGGCGCCCCUNNNNNCUGUCUUUCUUUGCCCUCCGCCGCUCGCACUCUUCUCUCUCUCUCUCUCUUUCUCUCAAUCUUGAAAAUAAAUCAACAUUAAAAAUUUUUUUUUUUAAUUUUUUUUCAACGUUUUUUAUUUAUUUUUGGGACAGAGAGAGACAGAGCAUGAACGGGGGAGGGGCAGAGAGAGGGAGACACAGAAUCGGAAACAGGCUCCAGGCUCCGAGCCAUCAGCCCAGAGCCCGACGCGGGGCUCGAACUCACGGACCGCGAGAUCGUGACCUGGCUGAUGUCGGACGCUUAACCGACUGCGCCACCCAGGCGCCCCUAAAAAAUUUUUUUAAUAAAAAUGUAUCUAUUUACCAUAGUCAGACAAGUGUAUUUACACAUCAAAAGAAACAGAAAUCAUUCCAAAAUGUCCUUUAAGUUGGGAAUAUAGUUGGAUUUACUGUUCAUCAUUCUUAUUCUUAAGUGUCUCAUAAGUGCCAUGGAAUAUACUAGCCUACGUGGUCUUUAACUUGAAUUGAGUAUUAAAUAUUUGGUAAUUUUAUAGUCUAAGUUUUUCCAGUGAAAAGAUAAAAUAAUGUUUAUCUAAAAAUGUUCAGAACCUCAGUUACAGAAUCAUGGGAAUUCAGAUCUUCACCCCAAGCUCUUCAACUGUUAGGUGAGUCAAGGGAGAUUUUAUGGACUCAGUACAAUUCUGGAGAACUACAGAGGGAUAUGUUGGUGGAAUUUUAUUUUCCUAGAACUGGGAUCAUUAUUGCUACUUGUAAUUAGCUUCCCACAGAAAUUCCACUGAUUGUUACAAGUUCAUUUCAAAAGAUAGUCCUAAAUUCUGUUUUCUUGUUUUGUUCCUUGGUUUGUGUGCUUGUUUGUUUCUAAACCAUCCAGGAAGACUUUGCAUUGCUCCAAUAGUAAGUUUGAGUUUAGUAACUCCUGAUCUGGGAUGGACUUAGAUGGUAGCAUGUCAAACCUGUGGUGUAGCAAAUCUACGAAAGUUUGGCAUCUCUACCAUUCUUUCAAGGUAACUUUUACCACCAUCCAAUUUCUUGCUAACAUCAAGGUUGCCCCUAAUCUGUGUAUGCAUGAAAAGUGCUAAUUGCUCUCUAUAUAUCAAGCCUGUUUUCUGAAUUUUCAGCAGCUAAGAGACAUUAGAAUAAAAACAAAUCUGUGGCCCAGGACAGGCAGACAUCUUAAUUGUCCAUUAACUAUUUUCUUACACCCUUUUGACUCAAUCAGGCAACCAAAAACAGUCACUGAUAAUCUGCUCUAAAUUCAUUCCAGAGGUUUCAGCUAUGUAGGCAAAAGUGAAAAUGAUUAGUUGCUUGCAAAGAAAAGAGAACCCAUGGGGACUAUUUGAUGUGUUCUUAAUUUAUUUCCCUAGUGUGUGAAAGAACAAAUGCUUAAGUAUAUUAAAUCCCUUUACUUCCCAGUAUUUUCUUAAAUUUUCUUGGGUUGUAAUGCUCAGUUAGUUGAAAAUCACUCUGCUUCUGUUUAUACCUUUACAUAUUUGUGUCUUUUGGGUUCCUGGUUUGUUUGCUUUCUUUUUUAAGCCAAUUUUAAUCUCCUUUCUGAAUAAAUUUCUUCCCUCAAUUUUAUUAUUAUUUAAAUUAUUUUACCUUAGUUUUUUUUCUAUUUUCAGUUAUUUGUUGAACCAGGUUUGACUUGCUUCUCUUUUUCUUAGGUAUCUAUUUUAGUUUAAUUUUUUUAACAGUUCAUUUAUUGGGGCACCUUGGUGGCUUAGUUGGUUAAGUGAUCGACUUCGGCCCAGGUCAUGAUCUCACCGGUUUGUGAGUUUGAGCCCCCCCGCCCGGCUCUGUGCUAAUCGCUCAGAGCCUAGAGCUUGCUUCAGAUUCUGUGUCUCCCUCUGUCUCUGCCCCUCCCCCACUCACACUGUCUCUCUGAAAAAUAAACAUUAAAAAAUAAAUAAAUAAAAGCUUAUUUAUUUAUUCUGAAGGAGGGGCGGGGCAGAGAGAGAAGGAUAGAGAGAAUCCCAAGCAAGCUCUGAACUGCCAUUGUGGAACCAGGGGUGAGGCUUGAACCCAUGAACUGUGAGAUUAUGACCUGAGCCGAAAUCCAGAGACUGACGUUUAACUGACUGAACCACCCAGGCGUACCAUCUAUUUUAAUUUUAAAUUGGUACCCAACAUUUCUUGACACUAUAUCCUUCAGGAUUCAAGAUCUAGAAUUUCAACAGGAAUAUCUACUUUGGAAUCUGUUGUGGGAGACUAUAGGAGUUGCCAAACUUUGGUACAUUCCAAAAUAAGUAUAUUCUUGUCCGAAAAACAAUGACAUAUUUACUUUAGGCUUGCAGGAGUAGUCUUCAAUUACAUUCCUUAAAAAAUUGGGAAAGAAUAUAAAGAUGAGACUAAAAUAUUUCUGUGGAAUUUGCAUAUGAGGAUAAGGAAUUGAGUUCUAGAAAUUGAAAAGUACCAACUCUCUCUCUCUCUCUCUCUCUCUCUCUCUUUCUUCUCUUCUCUCUGUACCUAUCUCUAUUUCUCUGCUGGCUUCACAGGAUCUCCAGAGUCGUUUUUCAUUUUUUCACCCACUCCCUUUUAUUUCCUUUUGGAUCUUCCUCACAUCUGUUUUGGUUCUCUGAAUCUUGUCUCCACCCAGCUCUGGAUAUCUGGAGUAGAGUCCCCUUCGCAGUGGUUGGAGGAGAGAUCAAAUAUAAAAUGCAUAUUUUUUUCAAAAAUAUAUUCUGGGCUGCUGGAAAUUUUAUCAGGGAGUAACUAGCACAAAUUCAACCAGAAAAGUUGAAGCUCCUAGGAAAUUAAAUAUAUAUACAUAUAUAUAUAUAUGUGUGUGUAUAUAUAUAUAUAUACACACACAUAUAUAUAUAUACAGUAAAAGAAUAUUGAAGAAUUUAGAGGAAAAAAGAAAACUUACGAAUAUUGUUGAAGAGAUCUUUAUCAAGUAAGUCAGAAAUCAAUUCAGUUUAAGCCUAGAAUUCUGCUAAAUAUAGGUUAGUCAGAUGUCAUAGUAAGUCUUGUGGCUCUUCAAGAACUUGCAAAUAGUGUAUUUGUUUAAUAGCAACUUUACAUAAAUGUGUUAGAAAAAAUGAAAACCUCACAUCAGUGAAGUUAGUACCAUUUCACUAAUUAAUAUUUCACAAUAAAUCUGGAUGCUAUCAUGAUGAAUCCUACAUCAGAUGAAGACAAUGAAGAAAUAAAACUAACAUGAUUUUUUUGGCAACAGGGUUUGAGCUCUGUGUGGGAUGUGCCAGGUGUGCUGAAACAGGUUUCACCACACUCAAUUCUCUAAUUAGCCAAACCAUCAAAACCACUGCAAGAAUGUUUCGCACUGUUUAUUGUUUCUUUUUAUUUGGUUGUUAUUAACUCCCUGCCUCCCUGCAUCUGUCCAAUAUAAUACAAUGUGAGGAAGUCCUGAAACCCAGGUUGAAAGAAAAACAAACGUAAUGCAUUUGUGAACUAGGUGUUGAUUUUGUCACUGUCUUGGUCUGUGAACUUUAAUAAGUUAGUUAACACAUCUCAGUUUUCCUCUCUAUUCAUAAAAGUUUGGAAAAGGACUCAAACAAAACUGCAGUAAUAGUUGUUGUAUGUAUACCUAAUACAUAGGAGCUGACUAAAGAAAAUGAUAUUUGAUUAAUUUUUUGUCAGGUCAUCUCAUUACUAUAGUUAUAUUCCUUUGUAUUUUGCUUACAUUCUGCAAGCAUUAGAAUAUGACUUGCCUUUCCCUGAUCCUAUCUAAUUUGAGAAGCUAUACAUUUUAUAGCUUUACCAUGACUUUCCUUCUCAAUCUUUUUAGCCUCGCCAUUUUUGUUGCAUUAUCGCAGUGCCUUUAUUAAUUUAAAUACAUAUUCCUAUUAGAUGCAUUUCAUUAUCAGGAACCUUUUUGUACCAUAGACCUGCAUAAAAGAGCUCAUUACCAGGAUCUGUGAUGGUAAAGGUGUUAAUGAAGCAUGCCUGUUUUAUAUGUUUUUUUUUUUUAACGUUUUAUUUAUUUUUGAAACAGGGAGAGACAGAGCAUGAACAGGGGAGGGUCAGAGAGAGGGAGACACAGAAUCUGAAACAGGCUCCAGGCUCUGAGCUGUCAGCACAGAGCCCGACAGGGGGCUCGAACUCACAGACCACGAGAUCGUGACCUGAGCCAAAGUCGGACGCUUAACCGACUGACCACCCAGGCGCCCGUGUUUUGUAUGUUUUGAACAGUGCCAGAACAAUUAAGAUGCCUUUCAAAAUACCAGUGCCUAUAUUACCAUGGUCAAAAAAAGUUUAAAGCCCCUAGGAAUCUCAUCUAAAUUUACACAAAUAAAUUUAAACAAUAUAGAAAACAAGAAGUAUAUGAAAAAUACAUUAAACAUUAAAAAUGGAUAGUGUUGAAAGUACAGAGUACAUUUUCAAAGUUACGAAAUAUCAAGAUAUCAGUAGGUAAGUGGAUCUUCAAAAGAGUAGAUAUUUAUUUUAUUUUUUAAGUUUAUUUAUUUUGAGAGAAAGAGAGAGCAGGGGAGGGGCGGGGGGCCAAGGGGCCAGAGGAUCCAAAGCAGACUGUGGGUUGAUAGCAGAGAGCCCAAUGUGGAGCUCUAACUCACAAACUGUGAGAACAUGACCUGAGCUGAAGUCAGACGCUUAACCAACUGAGCCACGCAGGCGCCCCAAGUAGAUAAUUGAUUUAAAAAAAAAAUCUAGGUAGAAAAUAAACAUCUGGUAACAUGAAUAAGUUCUCUAGUAAUUAAAACUUGCAAAUUAAAACAAUGAAAAGGUACGUUUAAAGCCUAUUGAAUUAAAGAACAUAAUACCCAAUGCUAAUGAGGUUGGGGUAAAACUGGUACAUUUAUGCAUUAACUGGUAGCACUGUAAAUUGGUACAGAGCUUUUGAAAAGCAGUAUCACUAUUCUAGAGACCUUGAAAAUUGUUUCUACACUUGAUUUCUUAAACUCAUUUUUUAAUCAGUUAAAAAAAUACAGAAGCAAAACAAAACUUUUCAUCUCUAAGAUGUGAUGUUUUGCAUUUAAAAAAUACCAAAACACUGAAAAAUCAUUUAAUGAUUCACAGUCAUACAAUUUAGUAUUAAAUAAGAAAAAAAAGCAGAGUUCAAAAUUAUAUGAACGUUAAUUUUGUAUAUGGUCAAAGACUAAAAGGUAGCACAAAUUACAAAACCACUAUUGGCCUAUUGUAUUGGGAUUAUUAUUUAGUUGGUUUUAUUUUCAAGUUUCUCUUUUAUUAUAUUGUUUUAAUAAUAGUUUGCGUAAAGAGACACAAUUUUUUUAUAAUAUGAAAUCUUAUUAAAAUUGCAACUCUCCUAGGAGAUAUAAUAAGCUUAGCAGGGAUAUGUUGACAACAAACUAGAAUCAGGCUAGCUGGCUUUUUAGGAUGCAUAAAGAAUUGCUUAGGAAAAGAAUGAGUAUUAGAAAGAGAAAAAAGCUAUUGAAAGGAAACUGCUGGCCAACCAAAUUCAGACCUGUUCUACUUUGAAACUUGACCCAGGACUGAGUAAAGCCAAAGUACUAAUGAUCUUCACUGUAGUUUUAAAAUGAAUGAAAGUCACCUUGUCGGUAGUUGUUGAGUUCACCUAUUAAGCAUUGAUGUUUUCUUAUAUGUCCUCUUUUAUCUAUAUUUAUGUGUACCUUUUUCCUACAAGUUACUCUUUUAGGUUAUUUCAAUAUCAAAGAAUGAAUGUAUGAAUUUUAAAUAUGUAAGUGCUACAUAUAAACAUUUUAAGCAUGCUACUUUGUAUUCUAAAUAUUUCUUUAUGAUUUUAUAUGCAUUUCUUUUGUUUCUUCACUUACUGAAUAUCCUGUGAUAAAUCUAUUUUAGUUGCCAUUUGAAUUUCUAGUCUUCCUUCCCAAUGUGAAUUAGAUUUUCUUUCCAUUUAUCCCUCCAUAUCAUUUUAAAUCAUGAAUAAGUUAACCAAGGUGACAGCUUGGAUGAGCUCCAGAUGUUUCAGGAAGUGCACAUUCAUAUUUUUUGUCAAUAUUCUUAAUACAAGAAAAUGUUUUUUUGCUGUUCUUAAAUCCCUAAAUUAUAAUUGGCCUAUAUAAGAAUACUUAAAAAAUUAAUAAUCUCAAGUAAGGUAUUGUCCAUUAUAAAUGUAUGAGAAACUGCUCAUGGAAAGUAAAAGUCCUUCUUCCAUAAUUAUGACCUUUGUAAUCACGAUGACAAUUUUUACCAACAUACUGUGAAAUAAUCUUCAUGCAUGUGCAGCUUUUCUCAGAUGGUUUCUAAACACAAACUAUUUUUAGGUGUGAAUCUUUAUUUUCUACACAUGUGAUUCAAAACAUUCUCAGUAACAAUAAAUAUCUCUUCUAGGAUCAUAAAUGAAAGCACAAAUUGUCUUAUUUUCAAACACAUCUUUUUACAAUAAAUAUAAUUCAUAAAAUCCCACUGGAGCCGGAACAGGUUCUUCCACUUGGGAUAGGGGAGCUAAACAUUAUUAGGGAUUACCUUUUAUUCAUUAUUUAAACAUGGUAUGAUGGGAUAGCCUAAAUACUGUUUAAAUUUAUGUGUAUUGUUUUCAUGUUAAUUUAAAUGGCUAAACAUGGAUAUGACAAAGAAAGAAAGAACUAUGCUCUAGGACUCCACAAUCUGUGCAACCCUUCAUCUAAUUUGUAUAAAAUUUCAAAUAUAGGAAAUGAACAUCCCAUUUGUCCAUCAGAAACUAGAACAUAGAGGUGCCCAGAAGGCUCUGUUGAUUAGACAUCUGACUUCUGCUCAGGUGAUGAUCUCACGGUUCCUGAGUCCAAGUCCCAUGUGAGUUUGAGCCCCGUGUCCGGCUCUUUGCUGUCAGCGCACAGCCUGCUUCAGAUCCUCUGUCUCCCUCUCCCUCUACCCCACCUCUGCUCUCAUGUGAUCUCUCUCUCAAGAAGAAAUAAACAUUUAAAGAAAUUUUAAAAAAAGAAACUAGAACAGGGACACAAUUUUAUCUCAUUUUUAAAUAAAGAGGAAAAAUGGAGCCCUCUGCAAUGGCCAGUACACAAAAUCUUUCAGGAAGGCAGAUAAUACCAUACCUUCUUUCCAAAAAGAUCUGCAUAAUAGCUCUUUGUUAAAAUCAAUCUUUCUGCAUGUCUCUUCUCUCUGUUUCCCUUUGUCUCUGUCUCUCUCAUUCUACACAUAUCCACAACUACCCCCCAACACCAGUAUUAAUUUUUAAGUUUGCUUAUUAAUAUUAAGAAAUCAGAUUCCAUGUAUUCUCUCUCUUCGUCUUUGUGUUCAUCUCAAAUUUCUAUAUCCAAUAGGUGUAAAGAUCAGUUUCUGAUAUCUUCAGUUUCAUAGAGAAUUUUCACUGGGCAUCUUUGAAAAGAGCAGGUCAGAUUGUAUUGAGCUAUUAUGGUAGGAGACACAUACUUCAGUAUAGAGCAGAACUCAACUUAAUACAGCAAAGACAUCUGCGGAUUUAUAGUCAAUGUACAGAGUGAGAGAGGCAGUAGAUGGAAAAUUAUGACAAGGAACUUGCUUAAUUAUCAAGGCGGGAAAGAUGAAGAACUUGAUUAGGUAUCAAAGAUGGAAUUUCUAUACAAAAUGGGCUCAGUGGGCCAAAGGCAAGUCCUAGUGAAAUUUGGUCAAGAAGGGAGUCCUUAUCAUCAGUGAGUCAUGAUUAUAUUCUUUAUAUAAGGGCUGCAAUCUUAAUAUUGGAUACUCAUUGACUGUAGAGCCAGAAGGGUCCUCAAAGAUCAAUUCCUUCUCUAUAGAUGAGAGAACCUGGGGCCAUAGAGGCUAUAAGCAAUCUGCACAAAGUCAUGAGCUAGUAGGUGAGAGAGACCCACUGGACAUAGGUCUCCAGAGCCUAGCCAAAGGAGCUGUUUUCGUAAGCAUUCUUUCUUACCUAAUAUGGUAGAAACUCCCUACUUUCCCAUUUUGACAACCAACAGAAUUUUCCUUUAGCCAAAACACUCCACUGAUAAAGUUAUGCAGGUGCCAUCUAAAGUCAACGAACCAAAAUUGUCUAUGUUCAUUUCUUAACCACUGCAUGAUUAAAUUGCCACUACACACUCCUAAGCACAAAUGUAAGUGUUAAAUAAAUUAAAGGAAUGAAUGAGUGAAUGACCUUCUCUCAAACUAUUCCAAGACAUAAAAAAUAUAUAGUAUUCUUUAAUGAGUUAUUUUCUAGUUUACACAUAUUCCUUUAUAAUCCUGGAAGAGGUUCACUUCUAACCUGAUUAAAAUUUCUAUAUUGUGAAUUUUAAUGGCCAUUAUCAUUUUAAAUAAGACUCUUUCCCAAACAUUCCCUUUACCAAAGAUAUUGUUUUAACCAAGUGAAAUAUGUUGACCCCACAUAUUUUUGGAUUUUUCAUCUCUUAAAUCACUAUGCAUGUUUUUCUUACUGAAAUUUUCCAUUUUUCAGAAUACUGCUGUCUCAUUUCAUUAUUUUUGUCUUAUGGUCUUCCAGCUUUGAUCUGCUUUUGAUUUAGCCCUUUCUUUCUUUUUUUUUUUUUUUUCUUGUCACCACAGUCCUGGUAAGAAAAGAGAAGGCUUCACACACAUAUGAACACACAAAUUUAUUUAACUUUGGUCACUCACUCAUUAUUCUGUGUUUAAGACCAUGGCAUCUGAACUCCAGCUCAAAGUUUGGCCUACUUCUAUGCCCCAGUUAGUUAUAUCUAAAUUGGAGAUGUUAAUAGAUUCUAUCUCAUAGAAUUUGGUGAAGGAUAAAAUGAGUUAUUUCAUGAGAGGAGCUUAAACUGAAACCUCAGCACACAGUAAAUUACUCAAGAAGUGAUAUGUUUGUAUUAAACUCUCAGUAAAUUAUCUUUCCAAAGAUGGGAACUAUCUUCAAUUGUACUUGCAUAAUUAUUUUACAAAUUAGUGCCAGUAAAACUUUUUCCACUAAAGACUGUUUGAAGCCAUACGGUUUCCAUUCCAAAUUCAUAUUGCUCUCAUCUUUUAUUCUAACUCAGAAAACCUUCACUGUAAUACAAGGGGAAAGUGAUCAUUCCAUUGAAAGAGAUACAAAGAAGAUUAUUUUAUUUUCUUUAUGCAAUAAACUCUAUGCCUUUCUUUUCAGGAUUUUUAUUUUGGAGAUGUAGUAGAUUACUGGACUUUUGUCUUGGCAGCAGUUGCAAUAUGAAGGCAUGUUGUCUUAAGAGUGUGUUGAUCUGUUCUACACGAUGACUUUUGGUUGUAUGAUGCUCUGAGGUGAAGGGUACCUUUGGGAUCCACAUACUUGGAUAUAUUCAAAGCUACAAGGAUACCUUAGAAUUUAUUUAUCUUUUUAAAAAAAAAUUUUUUACAUUUAUUUAUUUUUGAGUGAGACAAAGCAUCAGUGGGGGAGGGGCAGAGAGAGAAGGAGACACAGAAUCCAAAGCAGGCUCCAGGCUCUGAGCAAGCAGUCAGCACAGAGCCUGAUGUGGGGCUCGAACCCACGAACUGUGAGAUCAUGACCUGAGCUGAAGUUGGACGCUCAACUGACUGAGCCAUGCAGGCGCCCCUAGAAUUUAUUUAUCUUUGGGUGUGUUAAUAUGUGGCCACACAGGAAAUAUAUAUUUACAUUUUAACCCAAGGUAGAGGCAAAUUUAUUGGAAAGAAAACUGGCUAGAGAUUAAGGAGAUUGUAUUUCUAAUCCUGGCCCUAGAGAUCAUUAGCUAAACUAGAGGAAAUCCCUUAAUUAGUCUGGGCUUCAAUAUACUCAUCAAAAUAAAUUGGCUCAGUCCUUGAACAUUUUCUCUUCUUUGUUUACACUUGUGUCCUAGAUGAUUUCAUACAGUCAUAUGGCUUUAAAUACUAUAACUGCACUGACAACUUUCAAAUGUAUAAUUCCAACACAGAAUUUUUCCCCCCUGAAAUCCAGUUCUGUGUAUUUAAUCAACUCCUAAUUGUUGCCUCCAACUGAGCAUUUAUUAGAAUUCCAAGUUUUUAGUAUCCAAAGUAAACUCCUGAUUACCCUGAAGUCUUCCCCGUCUUGGUAAAUGGCAACUCCAGACUGUCUGAAGCAAUGCCCAUCUAUUCCAAACUUGACUCAUUCUUUAUUCGAAUUCAGGAAACCAUUCAUCUAUCUCCUGUGGACUUCUAUCACAGCAAAUGGCAAUUCUGCCAUUUCAGUUUUAUAGACCAAAAACCUUGGAAUUAUCCUUGACACCUUAUAUUCUCUUAUUCUUCAUUUCUUAUCUGAGAGCACAUACUCUUGGACCUAUUUUUUUAAGUUUAUUUAUUUACUUUAAGAGAGAGAGAGAGAGAGAGAGAGAGACAGAUCUGGGGAGGGGACUAGAAAGGGAAAGAGAGAAUCCCAAGUAGGCUCCACACUGGCAGUGUGGAGCCCCAUAUGGGGCUCAAAUUCAUGAACCAUGAGAUCAUGACCUAAGCUGAAAUCUAGAGUCAGACAUUUACCGACUGAGCCACCCAGGUGCCUUGCAUCUAUUUUUAAAAUAAAUACAGAAUCUGGCCACACGUUACCACUUGCUAAAACGAAAGACAAGGCUGACAUCAUUUUUCACCAGAACUCUUACAAUAAAAUUCUAUCUGGUUUCUUUAAUUCAACUUUUGCACUCCUCACCAGUUGCUAUUUACACAACACAGCCUCACUGAUUCUUUAAAAAUUUAGGUAUGAUCAUGUUAUUCUGCCCAUUCAGAAUUCUGUUGUAUUCACAAUGAAACUCUAAAUCCUUAUCACAGCAUACAAGUCCAAAUAAUCUGAACCUUGACCACUUCUUUAACUUAGUUUCAACCAUUCUUGCCCUCAUUAAUUUAACACUGGCCUCCUUGCUACCUCUCAUAUAUACAGAAUAUAUUCCCUGCUCACAUGAGGGCAUUUGCCUCUCCUCACCCACCCCUGCAGCAUAGUCUUCCUCAGUUGAUUACUUGGCCCUUUCCAAUCUUCCCUUAGGCCUAUCCUCAAAUACCACUAUCAUUGAGAAUACUUCCCUAAUACCGUCUGGGACUAUAGCUCCUUAUUUUACCCUUUCAUUUUUUUGGCAGUGCUUAUCACUGUAUAUAUACAAGUAAACUUGUAUAAGUAGAGUUGAUAUAUUUAGUGAUACAUAUAUAUAUAUAUAUAUAUAUAUGUAUGUACAUACAUAUAUAUAUAUAUAUAAUACACACACAAACUUUAUUCUUACAUAGUUUAUAUCCACACUGAUGUGUAAGCAUUAUGGAAACAUUAUCUGUUUAAUUUUCUACCAGGGCAGGAACACAGUAGCACCAGAAUAUAAAUAUUUUUUGAACUCAUUACCCAAGGAAAUCAGGCAAACUUUCACACAAUGAAGGUGGUGUUAUAUAUGUUGGUUGUAUUUACAAGAUAGAAAUAUGGGAGGGACAUUUUAAAAUGAAGGACUAGUGGAUAAUAGUAGUACCUCUAUUUAGUUGACAUUUAAUUUUAAAUAAGAAUGAAUAAUGAAAUAUUGGGGCAACAGAUAUAUAGGCCAAAGAGUAUACAUUAUUGCUCUAUUUCUUUUGGUUUCUAUGGAAGCAAUAGUCACAGGAGGAAUGCCCUGGACUUAAGCAUAAUAUCAUUUCAAAGACUUUCUUAAUUUUUAUUUUACUCCAAAUAAUGACCAAGAUAAUCUUCUUCCAGGAGAACAAUAGAUAGUCCUUUUUAGUCAUUGAAGUAAGAAUAGCUAACAAAGUUUUAGAAGAGGUGUUUCUUAACCACUUGAACAUGUCAGAUGUCUCCAUUGUCAAGAUAAGCAUCAGCAGUGUGAUGCCUUACACAUGUACACUGCUAUGUAGUAUUCAAAGUGUGUUCACAUUAUUCCAACAGUCUGUUAAUGAGCAUCAUGGGUGUUAAGACUGGUUAAGGAGCAGCAUAGUGUGUGUGUGUGUGUGUGUGUGUGUGUGUGUGUGUGUGUGUGUGUGUUUUAGGGGAAAGUAUUGGAUAAAUGACUUCAUUAAUGAUAAAGAAAGAUAUGAAGGGAGUUCUGAGAUGCUGUUAGAAAGCAUAUGGACAAAGGCAUUUGGCUGACCUCAUCCUAGAGAAGGUUAAAAGGAUGCUUAGCCAGAAUUGCCUCUGAAGAUAUUUGCUUAGCAGGGCUAUCUGGCUGAGAUGAGAAAUAGAUAGGAAGUUCAUAUUAUUGUCUAUCAUAGUUGACAUUUUAUAAUGUUUAAGAAUUCUGACAGAACAUUUAUCACCUGAAUAAAUUAGAACAGAUGCAUUAUAUUGUGAGAUGUCUAAUCAGAAACUCCACAGAGGUUGGACAUGCAUGUGAAUACUUUAAAGAAAGUCUGGAGUAUGACAUGGGCCACUCUGGUGCACAGGGAAGAUUGAUGUCUAGGGAUAUUAAAAUUGAUUAUAAAAUGGUUGCAGAUAUGAGGUAGAUCCAUUUUAUUCAAUUAUUGAUAAUAAGUAUUAUAAUAGCUGAAUUUUGUUGAGCAUUUACUAUGUGUCAUACCCUAAGAACAUCAUAAAUAUUUCCUUAUGUAAUUCCACCAACAAACUUACCUGGUAAUACUAUUAGUUUCUCAGUCAAAGGAUACUGAGACUUAGAUUAAGCAAUUUACCCAAAAUCAUAAAUAAUGUUUUGUCACCAAACUGGAAUUCAAACAAAGAUCCGUGUAAGUGGAAAACCAGACUCUUAACUAGGACAUUAUUGAGCAUGAUGAUGGUCUAUGUGGUAGGCAGAAUAAUGCCACCUCCUCCCCAAGAUAUUCAUGUCCUAAUCUCCAGAUUGUGUUCUCACAGGUCUGAAGGCUAGAAGUCCAAGAUCAGUGUCAGCAGGUUUAAUUUUUCCAGAGGCUUCUCCUUGGCUUACAGACAAGCCAUCUUCUUGCGGUGUCUCUAUAUGGUCUUUACUUUGUGUGUUCACACAUCUAGUGUCUCUGUGUAUCCAAAUUUCUUCUUGUAAGGAUGCCGGUCAGUGGAUUAGGCCCAUCCUUAUGGGCUUCAUUUUAAAUUAAUCACUGCUUUAAAGCCCCUAUCUCCAAAUAGAGUCAUAUUCUGAGGUAGUAGGGAUUAGGGCCCCAACAUAUGAAUUUUGGGGGAAUAUAUUCCACAUAUGACUUGAACCUAUGACAAACUCUCAGUCAAGCACAGUAUAGUAGGAGGAUGUAACAUUCUCUUCCAGAUAAAGGAGAGGGACUUCCACAAACCUGAUUGGCAUGUUUAAAACGUGUUCUUGAAGUUGAAGAUGGACACGGGGCUUAUAGGUGACUCACGGCUCAGAAAACUACGUGACUUAUGCAGUUAAGGUAUAAAAAUUAUCUGGGAAAGGGAGGUAUGCUUAUCUUCUGUGAACUGCAAAUGGGCCACAUGGGAGAGAGAAACAGCAUGAGGUUUUUUGGUGUUCUAUUCAAGAAAGCACCUAGCAGAUAGAAGGACCCUAGCAGCAGAAGACUGGAGAUGAACUCUGAGAUUUCUAGGGGCUGUGAAAGAACUUGAAAACGGCUCUCUAGAAAUAGGCACUGCACUCUUCAGCCCAAAUCAAAGGAACUGAAGCAGAGAAAUCAGCAAUAGCAAUAUGCAAACAAAAGACAAACAAGACAAAAAUUAAAAAUACCUGUAGGAAAAAAGGUCAGUUGAAAAUCUAAGCCUAAAUAAUGCAAAACUACCAGAAGAUCUUUCUGCUGCCUUUCGACUCCUUAGUCACAGAGAAUCUGCAGCUGUUGGUAACUGGGGAAGGAGAAUUGCUAGAGAACUACCCUGAGUUCUAAACCUAUUUCCAGGACAGGUUUCUAGUCUGAAAAAGGCUAAAGUUAAUUUCAUGUUAAUUCAAGUUUUGAAUAUUGAUUAUUAUCUUGAACUCUCAUUCUAUGUUUUAAAUGUGUUACUUAAAGUGACAGCAGGACAAGUGUUCUGCUGAUAAAGAGCAGCUCCCCCACCCCCACCCCUGAUAAAGGCCUUUAUUUGUGGCAUUUGCCCUUUUCUAUGGUGUAAAUUCUCCCACCAUGGCCAAUUUCCAUCUCUCAAUAUGAGGUCACUGAAAACACAGUUGGAUAGAAACGCACAAUUGCACCCCCAAGCCUAUAAAAUGGCCCCAGAAGACCACUUGUAGGACUAUCGAAACAGAGCAGAGGCAGAUUUACUGAGACACACAUCAGGCUUCAGGGCCCUCAAUGCCACAAGCCCGGAAUCCACUCUAAUGUGGUCACAUGGUCAUUGUUUUUAGCAAACAUUGCAAAUUGUAUUUUAAUCACAAUCAGUACAGCUGUUUUUUUCCACUCUGACAUCCCAGUGUCACACUUGCCUUCCAAUCAUGGCUUUAAUGCUGUCUUCGAUGCUUUUAGGAUCCAGCUUCAGAGAGGUUGAGUUGGGGAUACUUUUACUUGAGUUCUGUGGAAUAUAUUUACAUUCUUAAUCACUUCCAUGAAUAGUGAAGGUAUUGCUGGUGUAGCAGUGGUCCCAGCAAUGCCCCUGCUACCCGGUGCAUGGACUCCUUGAGCACCACUACACAAAGGUGCAGAGCCACACAUCACGUUGUAACUUAAAUGUUUCCGUGCUGUUACUAGCACAAGAAGUAGUGACUAGUGCUGUGACUAGUGGAAGUAGAAGUAAGGUUUGUAAUAUACAGACUCAGAAAUUUGAUAAAACUUUUGACAUCUGGCGGCUCAUAUGUAAAGAAAACCUGAGAGUUUCCCCAAAUUCAAAAUGAUCUUAAAAAUUUAACAGGUGUGAAGCUGAAGAAACUUCCUAAAUAUUUUUUUUUUGUUAAAUCAUGAUAAAAACUGAUGUAUGUUUCUAUGAAAAACAAGUCACUACAAAAUUGUUGGAAUGUGAACGUAAUCAAAGAACACUGUUGAAAAUUUACCAAAAAAGCUAUUACAUGGGUGUUUCAGGCAGGUAAACAGUGUUUUCAUGAGAUGAAUACACUCAUGAAUACAGUGUUUACAUGAGAUGAAUAUUUUUAAAAGAUUUUUAAAAUUCCAGUUAAUAUAUAGUAUAAUAUUAAUUUCAGGUGUACAAUAUGGUGAUUCAAAACUUCCAUACAUCACCCAAUGGUGAUUACAAGUAUACUUUUUAAUCCCUAUCACCUAUUUGACCCAUCACCCCACCCACCUCCCUCCUGGUAAUCAUCAGUUUGUUCUCUAUAGAUAAAAGCCUGUUUCCGGGACUUUUUUCUCCUUUGCUUGCUUGUUUGUUUCUUAAAUACUACAUAUGAGUGAAAUCAUAUGGUAUUUGUCUUUCUCUGACUGACAUAUUUUGCUUAGCAUAAUACUCUCUAGCUCCACGAUGUCAUUGCAAAUAGUAAGAUUUCAUUCUUUUUAAUAGCUGUGUAAUAUUCCAUUAUUUAUAUCUACCACAUCUUCUUUAUUCAUUCAGCAAUCAAUGGACACUUGGGCUGUUUCAUUAAUUGGGCUAUUGUAGAUAACAUUACUAUAAACACCAAGGUACAUGUAUCUCUUUGAAUUUAUAUUUUUGUGUUCUUUGGGUAAAUACGUGGUAGUGCAAUUGCCGGAUCAUAGGGUAGUGCUACUUUUAAUUUGUGAGGAAACUCCAUAUUGCUUUCCAGAGUGGCUGCAUCAAUUUGCAUUCCCACCAACAGUGCAAGAGGGUUCCUAUUUUUCCACAUUCUCGCCAAUACCUGUUGUUUUUUGUGUUGUUGAUUUUAGCUAUUCAGACAGAUGUGAGGUGAUAUUUCAUUGUAGUUUUGACUUGUAUUCCCCUGAUAAGUGAUAUUGAACAUCUUUUCAUGCAUCUGUUGGCCAUCUGUAUGCCUUCUUUGGAAAAAUGUCUUCUGCCCAUUUUUCAAUUGGAUUAUUUGUUUUUUGAGUGUUGAGUUAUAUAAGUUUUUUAUAUAUUUUGGAUACUAACCCUUUACCAGAUAUGUCAUUUGCAAAUAUCUUCUCCCAUUCCAUAUGUUGCCUCUUAGUUUUAAUGAUUGUUUCCUCUGCUGUUCAGAAGCUUUUUAUUUUGAUGCUACUACUGAUAGUUUAUUUUUGCUUUUGUUUUCCCUAUCUCAGGGGAUGUAUCUAGAAGGAAGUUGCUAAAGUUGAUGUCAGAAAAGUUACUGCCUGUGUUCUCUUCUAGGAUUUAUAUGGUUUCAGGUCUCACAUUUGGGUCUUUAAUCCAUUUUGAAUUUGUUUUUGUCUAUGGUGUAACACAGUGGUACAGUUUCAUUAUUUUGCAUGUAGCUGUCCAAUUUCCCAACACCAUUUGUUGAAGAGAUUCUCAUUCCAGUGGAUAUUCUUUCCUAAUAUGUCAAAGAUUAGUUGACCAUAUAAUUACAGGUUAAUUUCUGAGUUUUCUCUUCUCUUCUAUUGAUCUAUGUGUCCAUUUUUGUUGCCAGUGUCAUACUGUUUUGAUUACUACAGCUUUGUAGUGUAUCUUGAAGUCUGGAAUUGUGAUGCCUCCAGCUUUGCAUUUCUUUUUCAAGAUUGCUUUGGCUAUUUAGGGUUCUUUUAUGAUUCCAUACAAAUUUUAGGAAUGUUUGUUCUAGCUCUAUGAAAAAUGCUGAUGGUAUUUUGAUAGAAAUUGUAUUACGUGUGUAGAUUGCUUUGGGUAGUAUAGAUAUUUUAACCAUGUUUGUUCUUCAAAUCCCUGAGCAUGGAAUGCCUUUCAAUUUCUUUGUGUCAUCUUCAAUUUAUUUCAUCAGUGUUUUAGUUUUCAGAGUAUAGAUCUUUUACCUCUUCAGCUAGGUUUAUUCCUAGAUAGCUUAUUGUUUUUGGUGCAAUUGUAAAUGGGAUCAGUUUCUUGAUUUCUCUUUCUGUUGUUCAUUAUUGAUGCACAGAUAUGCAACAGAUUUCUGUACGUUGAUUUUGUAUCCUGCCACUUUACUGAAUUCAUUUAGCAGUUCUGGCAGUUUUUUUUUUUUUUAAUGGAGUCUUUUGGAUUUUCUAUAUAUAGUAUCAUGUCAUCUGCACAUAGUGAAAUUUUUACUUCUUCCUUACCGAUUUGGAUACCUUUUACUCUUUUGUUGUUGCUGUUGCUGUUGUCUGAUUGUUGUGGCUAGGACUUCCAGUAGUAUGUUGAAUAAAAGUGGUGACAGUAGAUAUCCCUGUCCUGUGUCUAACUUAGGGGAAAAGCUGAGAGGGACAUUUGUGAUGUUUGUGGUAUUUGAACGCUUUAAAAAAUGUGUAAAUUCUUAUGAUUUAUUUUUUCUUCCUGGACAAAUAUUCAUUUCUAACAUCAUUUGUAUUUUUGUGUUUGUUUCUGUAAGGAAAUAAUUUCAAAAUAUGUAAGUUUUAGGCCCUAUAAAAUCUGCAUAUUCCACUGCCUAAGAGAAAAGAGGCAAAUCCUAAAGUCAUGGGACUUUCUAAUGUUUAACCCAGAGGCAGGGGAUGAUUAUCUCCACUAAUAAAUUUUAAAGGAACACUGGGAAACAAAAGUAAUUUGGUUUGAUUUUAUCACAAAUCAAUCUUGCUCAAUAUACUGUUAUUCUCACUUUGCUGCUAUUUUUCUCUGAGCUUCUUCUCUUGAAGGAUUUGGAUCAGUUCUCUUAGUCCUAGUAGAAUGGGGUUCUAGUUGAGGUAGAACUUGGCAUUCACUACAUUCUUCAUUCUUGAAAAACUGUAUCUAGCCCCUACUGAACCUGCCCACUGUGUUCUCUUUCACAGGCAUAUUCUAUGUAGUUUUUAACAAUUUUGGAAAAUGAAAGGCGCCUGGGUGGCUCAGGCAAUUAAGUGUUAGACUUCGGUUCGGCUCAUGAUCUCACUGUUUGUGAGUUCAAGCCCCACAUCAUGCUCUGUGCUGACAACUCAGUGCCUGGAAACUGCUUCGGAUUCUGUGUCUCCCUCUCUCUCUGCCCCUCACCUGCAUGUGGUCUGUCUGUCUCUCUUUCUCUCAAAAAUAAAUAAACAUCAAGGGGCGCCUGGGUGGCUCAGUCGGUUAAGCAUCCGACUUCGGCUCAGGUCGUGAUCUCCCGGUCUGUGAGUUCGAGCCCUGCGUCGGGCUCUGUGCUGACAGAUCAGAGCCUGGAGCCUGUUUCAGAUUCUGUGUCUCCCUCUCUCUGACCCUCCCCUGUUCAUGCUCUGUCUCUCUCUGUCUCAAAAAUAAAUAAACGUUAAAAAAAAUAAACAUUAAAAAAAUUUUUAAAAAUUUUUGGAAAAAUGAAACAGAAGUAUUGUCAUUUAAUAUAAAAUCCAGGCUACUUCUGGAAUCUAGCAGGUGACUUUUUUUUUUCUUUUGAGUCAUUUAUUUGUUACAGUCAAAUGGAAUUUCGAUGAUCAACAUGUAGUUUCAGUCAUAAAGAAAAGAAAUUGACUGUUUUGUCCCUUGAACAAAAAUCCACUCAUUGUGAUACAGAAACUUAGAAAAGCAGGAGUGGUGACCCAUUUUGUAGGGAAAGGGCAUGCAUUUGUAAGCCUUUAUAGUUCCAUCUGAAAGUUUAUGUCUUUUAAAAUGUAGACUUUUUGCUACAAAAUCGGAUGGGGAAAACAAGCUUAACAUCAGGUUAUUUUGUAUAUACCUUUGACCGUAUCAAUAGAAAUAAUAAAAAGGUUUUCUAUAUUUAAAAGGUACAUCAGAACUAUUAAGAGAAAUUGAGAGUGUGGAAUUCUCCCUACAAGAUGAAAAUCAGUCUGCAGAGUAUUUUUGAAGUCUUGUCUAAAACAUACCUUAUUUUGGACACAUAUAUUUAUAUAAUUCAUUAAUCUGAUCAAAAGGAGAAAAAGAAUUAGUCAUUAGAUGACUUAAAAUAUUUUAUUUUUUCCCAAGGCAAAUUUGCUGAUUUACUAUUAUCAAUGAUGCUAGAGAUUGCUGUUUUUUUUUAAUUUUUUUCAAUGUUUUCUUACUCUUGAGGGAAAGAGAGACAGAGUGUGAGUGGGGGAGGGGCAGAGAUGGAGACACAGAAUCCAAAGCAGGCUCCAGGCUCCGAGCUGUCAGCACAGAGCCCAACACGGGGCCUGAACUCACGAGCCAUGAGAUCAUGACCAGAACCAAAGUUGGAUAGACGCUUAACCAACUGAGCCAUCCAGGUGUCCCAAGAGAUUGCUCUUUGAAGAAGAAAUAAUGCAUGUUGUAAUAAUGAUACAUCAUACAAUCUAAAUUAUGUUAGAAAAGUACUCUGAUUUUGCAUAACUAACUAAAGUUUUAGGUCUAUAAGAGAGCAUUUAAAAAUUUUAAAUCUUCCUUUGUGAAACAUUUGUGCUCCUGAAAUUUGCUUGUAAGCCACAAUUAUUUACAAACAUAUUAGAGGAGUGGUUACGAGAACAUCCUUUGGAGCUGCUCCUGAAAUUUGUUUGCAAGCCACAAUUAUUUACAAACUAUUAGGGGAGUGGUUAGGAGAACAGCCUUUGGAGCUAACCAUAACCGGGUUGGAAUACUGAUCUGCUAUUACCUGGUAACAGCCUUUUCAACCUUCCUUUUAAACACUUAGAAAUUAGGACAAUGGUACCAUUUUCUGUCAUUUCAAGAUAAAAUGACAUAUAAAAUAUGUAAAAUAUUAGGAGGAACCAUCAUGUAGUAAGUACUAAUUACAUAAUAUCUAUUAUUACUCUUCCCACUUUGUUAUUCUCUUCUCAAUUAUUUUAAAAUAAUAUUUUAUAUGCAUUAUUGGGGAAAAUGCGUGAUUUAAUAUUACACGAAAGAAUAUGUGUUUCAAAGUACCCAUUAAAAAUUGAUAGUUUUAUAUAACUAACUUUAAAAAUCUGUGAAGAAAUUACUUCACAUCUCUCUUUAAAAACAAUAUUAUCUUUGAAUUCAAGUUCCUCAAUUCUCCCUAACAGUCUUCCUCAAGUUUUUAGUUGGUAGAUACUUGUCCUAAAUUGCCCUAAAUUACUAUUGUAAGAAAGUCUGUGUCUGUGGCAGACAAUUCAGGUCAAACUGAAAUCUUACUUGGAAAUGGUAAAGGUAACAUACUAAUGAACUUACAUCACAUCAAAUGUACAUGAUGAGCAAAGAAAAAAAAUUGUGAGGUUAUCUUUACAUUUGAUAUAAAGGUUAGUGGUAAGGCAAGAAGCUCCUUUUUUUCCCACACCACUCCUAUCCUGUGGCAUGUUGUGGAAGUUAAUGGGUUUUUAAGAUGUGAACUGGGCUUUCUGGACUGAAGGAAGAGGAGACAGAGGAAGAGCAGAGGGACAUAUUAAAAAUUCAGCAUUUUAAAUGGACAAAUGGAACUUCAUUUACUGUAAGAGAGAGUUGAGAUUCUGUUAAGUGAUCUGAAAGUAUCAGAUUCUCUCUAUGAUUUAGACAUUCUAUAUAAAUGAACCUUCUUUAUAUGCAAUGAACUAUUGAAAAAUAGAAAGUAAUUUUAAAUGUAAUUGUGAAAAUUGAUGCUUAAAUUAUCUUAUUUUGAAAAAACUAACUUAUCUUUAUUUUGCUUUUGAUAAUUACACAAAAUGUUUAAGGCUCAAAUUUAUAGCCAUUUUUACAACUUGUUUUUUUAAUGAAUACAUACUAUCUAUAUGAAAUUUGAUUUUCUUACAGAAAGAGUGAUCAACAAAAAAAUAUAGUAAAAAAUGUUUAAAACUUCACUUUUUAUACUCCGCUUUUCAGUUAUGAUUUUUCAUGGCUUUAAAUUUUGGUGAAUUUCAAUGAUUUCAUAUUAUUUUCUGCAUAGUUCUCCCUUCCUUUUCCAGUAGAAUUUGGUCACUUGCUAUAUGAGAAAAUAGAUGGAUAUGAAGAUUAUAUCUACAAGGUCACUUCACUGAUUAGAGAAGGUAAAACCCCAGGCAGUGUGUAUGGUUCAUUAGGCUACUCUCUUAACCAGACCACUGACAGACUGAAUGUCCAUAGUUUAUUUUCUGCACAGUUCAUAAAUUACUAAGUAUUUUUGCACCCACUUGAGUCUGGAUUUGCAUUCCAUGCUCUAAAUGAGAUGAUUACAGAAUGUUGAUCUGUCAGUGAAUAAUUACUAUUGAAAGGCUUCUGAGAUUUGAAAGGAUUUAGAAAAAAUGUCUUUAAAAUUAAGCUAAAUGUUUUCAGACCUUUAACAAACAUCAAUUCUCAAUUCUUGAGUAUCAGUAAGAUAAAGGUAAAUGCUAUCUACGAAAAAGGGGAGAUAACAUUAUAGAUACUCUGAUUUGGGAAGACGAAUCAUAUUUCAGAAGAAUUUGAGAAUUGUUUUCAAGGGAAUCCUUUAUUAUAUAUGUCUAAAGAAUCAGAAAUUUGUUUAAGUGGAAAACAUCAACUACGGGAACAGCCCUUUGUUUAAAAAUCAUAAUAAGAUUAUUAUAUUCUUCUGUUUCUCCUGGAUUUGCAAUUAAGGACCAUAGCUGAACACUGAAGGCACUAAGUACCCCAUAUGCUACUUUCAGAGAGGCUGUAACAGUUGGGACCGAAUACUUCUCCUUUUCCUUUAGGCCUUAAGAGUUAUCAGAAUUGGCCUAACAACCCUCAACAUCACUCCAAAACCAAAUCAAUAUGAAAGGACUCCCGGAGAGAUAGGAGCCUACAGCCUUUGAGGCAUGCAGAAUUAAAAGUGACAGAACAAGGAAGACGACCUCAAGAAACAUAUAUAUUUAACCAGCAAACAUGCUGACCUGCUCCUGUGUCAGUUAAACAGAGGAAAAGGACUAGAAAAGAGUUGGUGGAGUCAAGAGUGAAGGAGCCUACACUCCUCCUCACACAUGUCCUUUAAACUUGUGUAGAUGAGGACCUGAGUCAUAUAAAUGGAUGGAAUACGGUUGGGCUCUGUCUUCUCAAUAUUUGUCUCAGUAGGUAUCUCAAGGAUACCUACUGACUGAAGGAAUCCAGGCAGCAAGAAGUGGUGGAGUGGAGUUCUUCCACAUCAGGAAAGAAGUACCCUUUUCACACUCUCCGAAGAACCCGCACAUAUUCUAGUAAGAACUAGGAUUUGGAUGGCUUCCACACAUAGUCAUUUCCCUUUAGGGUGAAUGUCCUGAAGGGCACUGCCAGUUCCAAAAGUGACUUUCAUUUUGUGGUCUAAACUGACGCAAUGUCAGUAUGAAGCAGAGAAGCAGAAGUAUUAACAGAGACAUGUUUCAUAGAUGGCUCACUGGUCGUCACACCAAGAGCCCCAUUAUAGUAGUGGAUUACAGCUGAAAGAGCUACAGGGCAAAAUCUUUCUGAGAAGCAUUUAGAGAAAGCCCAAAUCAAAAGGGGAUACAAAAGUAAGGACAUUGGAAAGAUCUGAAGACUUUGGUACCUAUAGCUAGAGCAAACAUUAAACACAGCCCAGCUCCUAACUGAAUUAAUGUAACCCUUACAUAAGAGGUCUACUUAGCACAAUUUCCAUUACUGAGAACAAGUUGUCUGAUUUUCAAGAAAAAAAUUAUGAAGCACUGAUGUGUCUGGCUCCAGGUCAAAAUUCUAGGUAUGAUCUCUUGGGCCCAGCCACAGGCAAUUACAAGCUUUGCCUGGCAGGUUCAUUGGGUUAGAGAAGAAGAGGCAGCUAUCUCCACACCAGAAUGUGUGCACAGCCAGUGAAUUGUAUUUCUCUAAAAGGAGUUGCAGUCAGGCACUUAGAACACUCACUCACCCCCCGCAUUUCUAGCCUAAACACCUCUGUUUGGAGGCUUCUCUAUUGGGGUUUUCAUUGAUGCACUUCUCAGGUGCCUUCCCUAACACCUCCUUAUCACAAAAUCUUGGCUGAGGCGCUUUUUUCACCACUCUAAAUCAGUACUUUUCUGCUGGAAUCAAUACGUUCCCGUUACUGCUGCGCGUAUAGGUUCCGGGCUCCUUGGCAGUGAGAUGAUUCCUCCUACCUGAGCUACAUAUCAUCUUACCAUCACUCAAUGUUAUUCCAUGGGGAAAAUUGGAACACUGGGGAGGCAGAAUCUAUUUUUGCCUUUCGAUUACACUAUCACAGUAAGCGAAUAAAGCUUUACCAGUUGGAAAGCAUUGAAGUCAUAAAAAGUAUCUUCUCAGACCCCAUUGGAAUUGAACGAGAAAUCAACAACAGAAACAUAGCUGGAAAAUUUCCAAAGACUUGGACGCUAAACAAUACAUUUCUAGAUAAUGCACAAGUUAAGGGAGAUGUCUUAGAAAUUAAUAAAUGUUUUAGAUUAAAUGCAAAUUAAAAGACAAUCUAUCAAAAAUUGUAGGAAAUAGAAAAGGCAGGGCUUAGAGGAAAGUUUAUAGCAUUAAAUGUGUAUUUAUAGCAUUAAAUGUGUAUAUAAUGGGGUAAAAGAUCUAAAAAUCAAUAGCCUCAGUUUCUACAUCAGGAAACUAGAGUAACAAGAGUAGCUUACAUCUAUGUAAAGGAAGCAGGAAAAAAAAAGAGUAAAAAUCAAUGAAAAUAAAAGACUAAAAAUCAAUGAAAUUCAAAAUAGGAAAAUAAGUAGGAAAAAACAGGUGAAACCAAAGGCUAGUUUUUUGAAAAGAUAAAUAAAAUUUACAAACCUCUAACCAUGUAAACCAAGCAAAAAAGAAGAUACAAAUUAAUACAAUCAUAAACGAAUGAGAAGUAGUCACUACUGAUUUCAUGGACAUAAAAAGUAUUAUAUAGUAAUAUUACAAACAACUCUAUGCCCACCAAUUUAUAACUUAGAUGAACUGGAUCAAUUCCUUUAAAGGCACAAACUACUGAAACUCACAGAAGUAACAGAUAACUUGAAUAGCCCUAUAUCUUUAAUGAAUUGAGUCAAUUAUCAAUAAUUGCCCAAACAAGCAAACCACUAGGCCCAGAUAAUUUUACUGGGGAAGUCUACCAAACACUAAAGGAGAAUAUGAUACUAGUUAUCCAAAAUAUCUUCAGAAAAUAGAAGCAUAAGUAACACUUUAAACUUAUUCUUUGAGGUUAGCAUUACUCUUAUAACAAAAUCAAAUGAAGGUGUAAUAAGAAUGAAUAGCUAACAAACAAUAUCUCUAGUGAGCAUGCAUUAAAAAUUCAAAUCCUCCAGUGCAUAAAAAGACCAAGUGGGAUUUAUUCCAGGUACACAAAGCUGGAUCAACAUUAGAAAAUAAAUCAGCAGAGUCUACCAUAUUGAAAGGGUACAGAUGAAAAAUCAUAUGAUCAUAUUCAUUGAUGCAGAAGAAUUUGACAAAAUUGGCCAUUCAUUCAUAAUAAGGCUUUUAACAAACUAGGAAUAGAGAACUUCCUCAAAUAGAACUUCCUCAAACUUAUAGAGAAUGUCUACCAAAGAAUCUACAGUUAACAUUGCUCUUAAUUAUUGGGGAAAAUUGGACACAUUUCUUCUAAGAUCAGGAAUAAGGCAAGAGUGCCCUCUUUCACCAUGCCAAUUCAACAUUAUACUAGAAGUUCUAGCUAUUGCACUAAUGCAUGGAAGCCAACAGAAAGAAUUCCUAAUUGGAAUUUGGAAAGAAUUCCAAAGCUGGAAAAAUCUUAGCAACAAAAUAAUGUAGCAUCUUAUAAAAUAAAUAUUUUGAGUUCAAACUGAUAUAAAUAAAUGAUUAAAUGCAUGAAUAAAUGGAGGAGAAUAGAUAAAACUCCCUGUAGAUGAUUUUUUAAGAAUUAUGCAGAUAUUCCACUUUUUAAAAGUUUAAGCUUAAUUCUCACUUAAGAGUAGGUAACAACCUUCCAAAAAGUUUGCAAAAGGACAUGGUAAAAAGGGCAUUGUUAAGAGCAACUUCUCAGUGGAGAAACUUGAUUAACAUUACUAUGGCCAGGUGGUUAAAUGUACCAUCAACAUUAAUAACUAAUGUUAAAAAUAUGUACUCCUGGGGCACCUGGGUGGCUUAGUAGGUUAAGCAUCUGACUUCAGCUCAGGUAAUGGUCUCAUGGUUUGUGAGUUCGAGCCUCGUGUUGGGCUCUGUGCUGACAGCUCAGAGCCUGGAGCCUGCUUCAGAUUCUGUGUCUCCUUCUCUCUCUGUUCCUCCCCUGCUUGUGCUCUCUCUCUCUCUCUCUCUCUCUCAAAAAUAAAUAAAUAUUGAAAAGAAAAAUUUUAAAAAUAUAUACUCCUAAUAUGGUGACAAUGACACUUUACCUCUUUUGUCUUCCCCCUAAAACAUACAGCCACAUUUUAAACAUGAAAGAAAGAUCAGAUAGAUACCGAUUGAGAGACAUACUACAAAAUAACUAACCAGUCCUUUUCAAAACUUUAAAGGUCACCAAAAAUAAGACCCUCACAACCAAAAGGAACUUAAUUACACAUGGUUAAUAAAUGUAAUGUGGUUUCUGGGAUGAAAUCCUGGAAAAGAAAAAAGAACAUUAGGGAAAAACUAAGGAUUUAUGAACAAAUAAUAGCCUUUGGUCAAUCAAAAUAUAUCAAUAUUAGUUUCUUAACUGUGAUAAAAGUAUCACAAUAUAAGAUAUUAAUAAUAGUAGAAGCUGUGUGUACUAUCCGCACAAUUUUUCUGUAAAUCUCUAGCCGUUCUAAAAUUUUUAAAAUGUUUAUUUUUUAAAAGACAAAAUACAAAAAAGGUAAAGAAUAAAAUCAAUAAGAAGAUGAAAAAAAGAAAAAAUAAAAAAAGAUAUUGCAUGUCCCUUCCUUCUAGCAGCAUGACUUAGCAAGUGAUCACAUUAUUUCAGCUCACGUUUUAUUUUCUGAAAUUUUGUCAGCCUUACUGCAAGUUUAGGCUAUGAGCCUACUUGAAAAUUAGGAGUUCCUAUGCUAAAAGAAAGAAAACAAAAUAAAUAAAUGAAAAGGAGGAAAAUUGAUUUUGGAGAAAUCCCGAAUCUAUUCCACAAUCUUAUGAGAUUAUUUUUCAGUAGAAGAAAUUCAUGUAAGUUGAAAAAUUUACAAAGACCAGAAUUUUGGGAAAUAAGGGAAUGCUUAACAAAACUCAUGAAGAACAUUCUCAGUAAGUGAUAUAAUAUUUAAUUACUGAGGUUAAAAAUGAGGUAAUCAUUGUGACGUUUGAGAACAAUAAGUCAAGAUGAUAAGACAAGAUUUUUUAGAAUCCAAAUGGGAGUAAGAGAGAAUAGAUGAGCUCUGAGUAGCUCAUCACAAGGUAGUUGUGUAUUUCUGUGUGGCAAGGGUUAGGAGAAAAUAUGGAAAUCAGUGGACCAUAGAACCACAAUCAUUAGUGGCAAAGUCAAGCAGAGGUACCUGGAAAUUUUGGUAUUGACGAUAGACACUGUUCACCUCUUUGAACCUAACUAAAGCAAACUGAAUUGGGUAAAUGUGUAAAUGCUCUCAAUUAUAUUUAAAUUUAAUCUCUUAUCUUCCUUCAACUGUAAUGAUUCCUUUCCAUCACACACACAGACACACACACACACACAGAGCAUUCAGUUAAAUUUUGGGAGUCAUUGUGAUAAGAAUUUAGACUUAAAUCUAACCCAUGGUAAAGGUGGGUGACAGUUAAAGAGCAUAUUUAUUAGCUAGCACUUUGGUUAUGCAAAAUAGGCCAGGUAAGAACUGGCUUACAGAAUGACUUAAGAAGCCAAAUGAGGCAAGUGCGAUAUAAAUCAUGGCAGUAGGCUGGUACCAGGCACUGGUGAAUACCAAAAAUAAAGGCAGAGACACUGGAGAUAAUCACAUUUUUCUCAGGGAAAGUGGCAAGGUUCUAGUGGUUUAGAGUGUCAGGCAAAAGGCUGUAGAAUCUCAGUUCCUCCCACUUCUUACUCAACCAGAGUGGCUCUACUUUCUUUCUUAAUAUUGGGAUUGCCUGUAAGAUUUCUUGAUUUCUCUUUCUGCUGCUUCAUUAUUGGUGUAUAGAAAUGCAACAGUUUUCUGUAUGUUGAUUCUGUAUCCUGUAACUUUACUGAAUUCAUGUAUCAGUUCUCACAAUAUUUCAGUGGAGUCUUUUUUUUAAUGUUUAUUUAUUUAUUUUGAGAGAGGGAGAGAAUGCGAGCUGGAGAGGGGCAUAGAGAGGGAGACAGAGAAUCCCAAGCCAAAUCCACACUGCCAGCACAGAACCCGAUGUGGGGCUUGAUUUCAUAAACCCUGAGAUCAUGACAUGAGCUGAAAUCAAGAGUCAGAGAUAUAACUGACUGAGCCACCCGGGUGCCCCUUGGGUUUUCUACAUAGAGUAUUAUGUCAUCUGUGAAUAGUGAAAGUUUUACUUCUUCCUUGCUGAUUUGGAUGCUUUUUAUUUCUUUUUGCUGUCUGAUUGCUGAGGCUAAGACUUUCAGUACCAUGUUAAACAACAAUGGUGAGAGUGGACAUCCCUGUCUUGUUCCUUACCAUAGAGGAAAAGCUUUCAGUUUUUCCCCACUGAGGAUGAUAUAUGGCCUCUAUCCCUAUUUUGCUGAAGGUUUUUAACAAGAAUGGAUGCUGUACUUUUCAAAUGCCUUUUUAUGCAUCUAUUCAGAGUAUCAUAUGGUUCUUAUCCUUUCUUUUGUUAAUAUGUUGUAUCAUGACGAUUGAUUUAUGAACAUUGAACCACCCCUGCAGCCCAGGAAUAAAUCCUACUUGAUCAUAGUGAAUGAUUCUUUUAAUGUACUAAUGGAUUCUAUUUGCUAGUAUUUUGUUGAGAGUUUUUGCAUCCAUGUUCAUCAGGGAUAUUGGCCUGUAAUUCUCUUUUUCACUGAGAUCUUUGUCUGGUUUUGAAAUCAAGGCAAUGCUGUCCUCAUAGAAUGAGUUUGGAAGUUUUCCUUCCAUUUCAUUUUUUUUUUUUUGAAACAGUUUAAAAUGUUUUUGUAGAAUUCCCCUGGGAAGCCUCUGGCUGUGGACUUUGUUUUUGAGAGAUUUUUUAUUACUGAUUCAAUUCCUUUGCUAGUUUUUGGUCUGUUGAAGUUUUCUAUUUUUUCCUGUUUCAGUUUUAGUAGUUUAUAUGUUUCUAGGAAUUUAUCCAUUUCUUCUAAAUUUCCCAAUUUGUUUGGCAUAUAAUUUUUCAUAUUAUCUUAUAAUCGUUUGCAUUUCUGUGGUGUUGUUUAUGAUCUCUUCUCUCUCAUCCCUGAUUUAUUUAUUUGGGUCAAUUCUCUUUUCUUUUUGAUAAGUCUGGAUAGAGGAAUAUUAAUCAUAUUAAUUCUUUCAAAGAACCAGCUCCUUGUCUCAUUGAUCUGUUCUAUUGUGUGUUUUUUGUUUGUUUCUUUGUCUCUCUACCAUUUAUUUCUGGUCUAAUCUUAAUUACUUCCCUUCUUCUGUUGGCUUUAGGCUUCAUUUAUUGUUCUUUUUUUAACUUCUUUAGGUGUAAGAUUAGCUUGCUCAUUUUAGAUUUUUCUUGCUUCUUGACAUAGACCUGUGUUGCUAUAUACUUCCUUCUUAUAACCACUUUUGCUACAUCUCCAAAGUUUUGAACCUUCAUGUUUUUAUUCUCAUUUGUUUCCAUGCAUUUAAAAAAAUUUCUUCUUUAAUUUCCUGGUUGACCUAUUCACUCUUUAGUAACAUAUUCUUUAGCCUCUAUGUAUUUGUUGUCUUUCUAUUUUUUUUCUUGUGGUUGACUUCAUGUUUCAUGGCUUUAUGGUUGGAAAAUAUGUAUAGUAUGAUUUCAAUAUUUUUAUACUUGUUGAGGCCUGAUUUGGGACCUAAUAUGUGAUCUAUUCCAGAGAAUAUCCCAUGUGCACUUGAAAAGAAUGUGUAUUCUGCUGCUUUAGAAUGAAUGUUCUGAAUAUAUCUGUUGUUGUAAGUGGCGUGUUAAAGUCCCCUACUAUUAUUGUAUUUUAUCAGUGAGUUCCUUUAUGUUUGUUAGUUAUUGUUUUACAUAUUUGGGUAUUUAAAGUUAGGGACAUAAAUAUUUAUAAUUGUUAGGUCUUAUUGUUGGAUAGAUGCCUUUAUUAUGAUAUAAUGCACUUUUUUAUCCCUUGCUACAAUCCUUGGCUUAAAAUCUAGUUUGUCUGAUAUAAGAAUUGCUGUUACAGCUUUCUUUUGGCAUCCAUUUGCAUGGUAAAUGGCUCCCCUCACUUUCAAUCUACAGUGUCUUUAGGUCUAAAAUAAGUCCCUUGUAGGCAGAAUAUAGAUGAGUCUUGUUUCUUUUUCUUUCUUUCUUUCUUUCUUUCUUUCUUUCUUUCUUUCUUUCUUUCUUUCUUUCUUUCUUUCUUUCUUUCUUUCUUUCUUUGUUUUAAUCAAUUCUGACACUGUAUGUCUUUUUGAUUGGAGCAUUUAGUUCAUUUAUGUUCAGAGUAAUUAUUGAUAUAUAUGAAUUUAGUACCGUUUUAUUACUUGUUUUGUCAUUGAUUCUGGAGAUUUUUUCUGUUUCUUUCUAGUCUUUGUCACUUUUGGUCUUUCUUUCCCACUCAAAGAGUCUCCUUUAAUAUUUUUUGCAGGGCUGAUAUAGUGGUCACAAAAUCCUUUAGGUUUUGUUUGUAUGGGAAACUGUUUUUUUUCCUCCUUUUAUUUUGAAUAACAGCCUUGCUGGAUAGAAUAUUCUUGGCUGCAGAUUUUUCCCAUUCAGCGCAUUGAAUAUACUAUGCCACUUUUCUGGCCUGCCAAGUUUCUGUGGACAGGUGUUCUGCUAAACUUAUGUGUCUUCCUUUAGAAGUUUGGGACUUCUUUUUUCUUGCUGCUGUUAGGAGUUUUUCUUUAUUUUCAUAUUUUGCAAAUUUAACUAUGAUAUGUCAUGGUGUUGGCCUGAUUUUGAUUUUUGUUUUUUGUGGGUUUUUUUCAUUUUUUUUAACAUUUAUUGUUGAGAGACAGAGAGAGACAGAGCUGGAGCAGGAGAGGGGCAGAGAGAGAGGGAGACACAGAAUCAAAGCAGGCUUCCAUCUCUGUGCUGUCAGCACAGAACCGAAUGUGGGUUCUGUGAACUGCGAGAUCAUGACCUGAACCACGAGAUCCCAUGAACCCAUGAACCUCGAGAUCAUGACCUGAGCUGAAGUCCGAUGCUUAACCAACUGAGCCACCCAGGUGACCCAACCUGCUUUUGUUGAUUUUGAUGGGAGUUCUAUGUACCUCCUGGAUUUGGAUGUCUGUUUCUUUUCCCAGAUUAGGGAAGUUUUCAUUUAUAAUUUCCUUAAAUAAACCUUUGGCCCCCUUUUCUCCCCCUCUUCUUCUGAGACUCCUAUGUUACAAAUGUUAUUAUGCUUUAUGGAGUCACUGAGUUCCCCAAGUCUACAUUUGUGAUCUAAUAUUUUUCUUUUGAGCUUAAUUUCACCAUUAUUAUUUUCCAUAAUUUUAUCUUGUGUAUCAUUUAUUCAUUUUUCUACUUUUUCCUUCCUUGUGAUUAUUACAUCCAGUCACUUUCACAUCUUGGUUAUAGAAUUUUUUAUUUUGGCCUGACUACUUUUUAGGUAUUUUAUCUCUGUGGUAAGGGCCUCCCUCUUGUCUUCUAUGCUUUUCUCAAGCCCACCUAGUAUCCUUAUGAUUAUUGUUUUAAAUUCUGGACUAGGGAUAUUACUUAUAUCUGUUUUGAUUAGAACCCUGGCCAUGACCUUUUCUUAUUUUUUCUUCUGGGAUGAAUUCCUCUGUCUUGGCACAAAGUCUGGGUCUAGGUCUCUGUCUUUCUCUGUGUAUUAGGAAAGCCUGUUGUGUUUCCUGCUCCUGAGAGUACGGUUUUAUAAAGAAAAGGUCAUAUACUGUCCAGGGCCUGGUACUUCAGGAAGUGUCUCUGCUGUAUGCUGUGUAUUCUCUCCUGCUGUGUUUUGACUGCUCUCUCAGGUCAGUCUUCUGCAGAAUUUCUCCUUGCCUGCCCUGGGGAGUGUCUGGCCCUUGGCUAGAGUAUGGUGAGUUUUCACUAGUUGUACCCUGGUAUACUUGUUUAAAAAAAACCUGAUGCGGGGCGCCUGGGUGGCGCAGUCAGUUAAGCGUCCGACUUCAGCCAGGUCACGAUCUCGCGGUCCGUGAGUUCGAGCCCCGCGUCAGGCUCUGGGCUGAUGGCUCAGAGCCUGGAGCCUGUUUCCGAUUCUGUGUCUCCCUCUCUCUCUGCCCCUCCCCCGUUCAUGCUCUGUCUCUCUCUGUCCCAAAAAUAAAUAAACGUUGAAAAAAAAAUUAAAAAAACAAACAAACAAAAAAACCUGAUGCUAUUUCCACCAGAGCUGAAGCUUUAUAGAACUUUAUGGUCAGUAGGCGAGGUGUGUGCAGGGGUUUGUGCUGGUCUUCUUGGGGAGGGACUUGCCACACUGGUUCUGGGACUUGCCGCUCUGGUUCUGAAACUCACUCUUUUCAAAAAAGCAGUAUCUGCAGAGCACAGAGUGGUGGGGUUUGAUUUAAGCAGUUCAGGCCACGAGUGUUGGCACUGUGCUAUUUACUAAAGUUAGUUUACGCUGAUAGUUGGGGGAGCUAAAAGUUGCCCGCUAGCUCUUUUGUCCCCAGAGAGGCAAUGCCACCUUUUCCAGAUGCACUCCAAGAAGGAGGAACUGUCUCUCCCAGUGCAUCUCAGGGGAUCCUCAGUCGUGCCAUCCCUUUUUGGGUGAUUAUUGCCAUCCUUCUCCGCAGGAGCACUGCAGCGCCCACAAGGCUCCAUGCCAGCUAUGCCAUCGACAUCUAAAACUUCCAUUGUUGAGCCCAACUGGUUGUAAAAACUCACAAAUAAGCCCUUCUUAUUUUCCCCGUCAAUGGCUUUGGGGAAGUGUUUUCCUUGUGCAAUCCCCCCUUGUGCUCCUCUCCCUCUCUCUCUCUCUCACUCUUUCUCUGUCUCUCUUCUGCCUCUCUCUGUCACCAGGGCUCCCUCCACUGCACCCAUGAUACUUUUCUUCCCCAAAUCAUAUCUCUUCACCUCCUACCUUCCACGAUGUGGCCUCUUCUCUCCCUCUAGUUGUGCAGUUUGUGCUCUCAGUUCUUAGAUCAAUUUCUUGGGUAUUCAGAAAGAUUUGAUAUUUAUCUAGCUGUGUUCACAGGAUGAGGCAAGUCUAGGGUCCUCCUACUAUUCCCCAAAUUUGAUUUUGUAUUAAUGUGAAUGUGCCAACUAAAUAAGAUGUAUCCAAAUAGUAACCAUGGCACUGAAUCCUCAUUAUAGAAAAUACAGCCUAUGGAGAGUACAUUAGAUCAAGAACAAAAGCAUGAUUUGAGGAAGGUACCUUAUUGAAACGUUUAUACAGACUCAAGCUGCACUGGAAGGAAAGUGAUGGUAAACAUGUUAUCGUAGGGCAUCAUGAUGAGAAGGAAAAGGGUCAAGAUGCCGACUGCUUGAUCUGACACUUACAAAUACAGAUUGCUGAAGGUUGAGGCCAAAAGGGCCAAUGAAAGACCAGGCAGAAGAGACAGAAGCGGUGGUCUGGCCUAGGAAGUUUGAACAACUUGUUGUCAAAGUGGUGCUUGGAUUCAGACAUGGAAUAUGAGCUCUGAUAUAUAGAAUCACAAGUCAGAGAAAGGCUAUGGAUCAAAAUCAGGCUAUUAGAGAAAAAAGAAGAGGAAAAUUGUCAUUAUUGCAUCAGGGACCAUUUAGGCCAAAAUAUCAACAGGAUUAUAACUAGAAAGACAGGUAAAUAGGUCAAUAGGGAAGAAUUUUAAGUGCUAGAGUAAAGUAUCACUAUGAUUUGUCUUUUGUUGUCCUCCAUUUCAUAGGUCAGAGGGCCAAGAAGAACUACCUAUAGUUCAAAUCAUGCAACAAAAUUAUUACUUGGAGACGAUAUUAUCAACCAAUCAGCCGAAGGCAGACAUACUAGUAAUGCAUUCUCUGGCUCUGCAUUACUCAGUUGGCUAUGUUAAACUCACACUAUGACCACAGGCCUUCAGCUACCCAUUAUCUUGGUAGAACAGAAUGGCAGCAAACCAUGCAGAAAUAUUUCAGGAAUCUUCAAUAUAAAGUGUGGCUUGUGAGGAUAUAGUUAAAGUAGAGGCACUGGCCAGGAGUUGAAGAGACAGCUGUUUCAGGUCUGUUGUUUCACAAAUAUAGUUUUCUUUGAUCUUGGAUAAGUAUAAAAUUAUGCCCCCUUGCAUAAUAUUCCAUUCCAAGUAGGAAUGCUACUUUCUCCUACUUCCAUAAGUUUAUUAUGUAGAGCAGAAUAACAUCUAUAAAAUAAAAUUGGGCUCUUUGGACAAAUAAUCACUAUGCAAAUGUAUGUUGUAAUAGCUAUAAUAUAAUUGCUAUUAUUGGAAACUGCAUAGAAUUCAGUGAGAUUAUAAGGAGUGCUCUUUUAUUGGUAGUAGCAGUCUAUGUACUAUUUUAAUAUUUUGGGUGGCUUUGAAUUUUAGUUUAAAUUUUUCUAGGAAUGAUUGAGGGAAUUGACUCUAACUUACUUCUGUUGAGCCAAAAAUACAUCUGGCACAUUAUUAAUAGAUAACAUCAAAUAUCAUCAUUUUGGGGUGUCAAUGCAUUAAAAUAUACAAUUUCCUUUCAGCUUCUGUCCUUGUAUGUACCAUUUGAUAAAAAUUGGGUAUUUCGUGACUCCUUUUAGUCCCAAUUUCAUAAUUUGCACUUUAUGACCAGAGAGGUUGAACAUGCCUGAAGUAAGUCUGUUUGAUGGUGGUUUUCAAUAUGAGUCCCGAUGCAUUCAUACUCAGGAUGAGUGCUACAUAGCUGCAGACCUGUCUGUGGGAAUGUGGCUGUUUAAUUACCAAUUCAUCUGUACUCUCUGACUAGAUGUAAUGACAGUAAUUCUCUAAGUCCAGUGUCUUUCAACGUUCUUUUUAAAUAUAUUUACUUAUAAUUUUCUUUAUAUAUAUUUAUAGUGUAUAUAUGCAUGCAUUUAUAUAUACAUAUAUGUAUAUAUGUACAUAAAUAUGUAUAUAAGUACAUGCAUGGGUAUGUGUAUAGAGGAGACUAAGGAUGCUGUACUGAUCAAUAAAAUGUAAUACGAUAUUAUCUAUUCUGGUUUUUUUACUUUAAUUUUUAAAUUUUUACUUAUUUUUGAGAGAGAGAGAGAUAGAGUGUGAGUGGGGGAGGGACAGAGUGAUAUGGAGACACAGAAUCCAAAGCAGGCUCCAGGCUCCGAGCUGUCAGCACAGAGCCCCACGCGCAGCUCGAACUCACAAACUGUGAGAGUAUGACCUGAGCUGAAGUCAGACGCUCAACUGACUGAGCCAUUCAGGCGCCCCAUCUAUUCUAAGUGGUUUUAAUUUUUGAUAAUUUGGAUUUUAAAAGUUACUUUUUUUUUAAUAGGUAACAAAAUAAAGAAUCAUGAUUAACUAGACUGGAGAAAAUAAAUUCUAUAACAUAUAAAAGUUAUUUGUGGGGCACAUGGAUGGCUCAGUUGGUGAGGCGACCCACUUCGGCUCAGGUCAUGAUUUUGCAGUUUGUGAGUUUGAGCCCCACCUCAGGCUCUCCACUGAUAGCUCAGAGCCUGGAGCCUGCUUCAAAUUCUAUGUUUCCCCCUCUUUCUACCCCUCCCCUGCUCAUGCUCUGUGUCUCUCUGUCUCUCAAUAAUAAAUAAACGUUAAAAAAUUAAAAGUUAUUUGUUAUAUCUUUAAAAGAUAUUUGAAUUUACAAGUUACGAUACGUUAGAUAAUUCUCCUAUGCUUUCCCCCCCAGCUUUAUUGAGGUAUAGUUAACAAUGUAAGUUGUAAGAUACUUAAAGUGUACAACAUGAUGAUUUGAUGUAUGUAUGCAUCAUGAAAGGAUUCUCAUCAUCAAAAUAAUUAACACAUCCAUCACUUCACUUAUUUACUUUUUUUUAUGAGGCCACUUAAGUUCUACUCUCUGAGAAAAUUUCAGUGAUAGAAUACGGUGUUAUGAACUGUAAUCACUAUAUUUUACAUUAUAGCUUCAGACCUUAUUCAUCUUGUAACUGAAAGUUGGUACCCUUUUGCCAAACUUUUCCUAUUUCCCCCACUGCCUAGUUCCUGACAAUCACUUUUUGACUUUCUUUUUCUAUGAGCUUGACAUUUCUUUUUCUUUUUUGGAUUCUAUUUAUAAGUGAUACCAUGUAGUAUUUACAGUAUUUUCCUUUCUCUGUCUGGGUUAUUUUAUUUAGCAUAAUACCCUUGUGUUUAUCCAUGUUGUUGCAAAUGACAGGUUUUCCUUCUUUUCAAAGGUGGAAUAAUAUUCCAUUGUGUGUGUGUAUGCGUAUAUAUAUAUAUACAUAUAUAUAUAUAUAUAUAUAUAUAUAUAUAUAUAUAUAAAGGAGCUUUAUAUACAUAUAUAUACACAAUAUAUAUGUAUAUAUGUACAUAUAUAUGUGUAUACAUAAAGGACCUUUCUUAAAAACACAAAGCAAAACAAUGAAUUUACUUCAACUCUACAGAAAAGUCCUUAAUAAGCUUUAAAAUAACAGAUUUUUAAAGAGAAAAGAAAUAUAUAAUAAUUUAUGAAUGCAACCUAUGCAUGUGUAAUCAUACUUGGCACUUUUGGACUCUGUCUUACAACUUGUAGUUUUACUUCUUUAAGUUAUUUUUGGGUAAUAGAAAAAUGUUCCCCUAUCAUCUCUAUAUUAUAUAUUUUUAUGGAAAAUGUAAAAAAAUAAUUUUUAUAUUUGAAUAAAGGAAAAUUUACAUCAUAAGGUAAAAAUGCAAAAUAAUGCCAUAUUGUAUCUUCCUUACAAAAUAAAGUCAAAUGUCUGAAAGGAAAAAUGCAGAGAAAAUAUAUAACAUGAAAAAAUAGUUGCAUCUUAGUGCACUAUCACUUUUUCUCAUAUUAAUCAUUUGGUUACUUCCCAGUUCUUCUGUAGCAAUAAACCAUGACUUAGCUUGAAUUAAUAUAGAAUAAACAGUAUGUAUUUGAAGCUAUACACUACCUUCCACUUUUUUUUUAGCAAUACUUUACUGUAUAGAAUAACCUUUUAUUUUAUGUAUUACAGUAAGAUGGCACAUGUUGUUACAAAAGUAUAAAUGGACUGGGGGAAGAUAUUUACAAGCAGGCUAAAAGUAGACUACCCAGUUAACCAACAGAAUUAUUGGCCACCAACAAUUCUUUCAAACUCCUUCAUGAAGAUACAAAGGUAUUUUCCCUCUCUUGAAUCCUUACUGGCUCUCUGACUUGUUUUAACUAAGAGGAUGAGGAAGAAGUUAUGUUGUGUGAGUUCUAGAGCUUGGCAACUUCCAUUGCAUUCUCUUGGGAUCCAGCCAAAAGUACAAAAGCUAGGAUACAAUUGAUUACUGAGUGGUAAGAAACAGCCCCAGCUAGCCCCCAGGCAUUCCAGAUACCACAGUGGAGGUGCCAUGAGUGUGAAUACAAUCAUCUUGAAUGUGCUGUCCCAGCCAUGCCUCUAGUCAAAGACAACCAAAUAAGUGAAACAUGUGUAUCCUCAGCCAACAUUACAUGCCACAGAGAAAACUCCAACUAGGUCAGCCAACAUUCAAAAUUAUAAGAAAUAAUGAAAAAUAAUAAAUCAUUACUGUUUUAAGCCAAUAGAUUUUGGAUUAGUUUGUUACAGGGAAUUCUAUAACUGAAACAUGGGUUCUUUGAGAAUAUACAUUAUUUUCAAUAUAAGACAUAUGAACAAAUAAUUUUGCUGCAAGGAAAAAGGACCAAUUACUCCAUCUUCAUUCUCAUGAGUUAGAAAUAAAGAUAAUUUAAAUAUAUGAGAAAUUAAGAUGAUUACUAAUAUUUGUUAGAAUACUUUCAGCUACAAGUACAAAAUUCUUUACCUAUAUUCGCUUAAAAAAAAACAAAGACAUUAAUAAGGCUACUUGAUAAGAAGUCUAGACAUAAAGAGCAUGAGAUUCUUGAUCUCAGGGUUGUGAGGUCAAACUCCAUGUUGGUUACAGAGAUUACUGAAAAAAUAAAUUAAUUAAAAAAAAAACAUUAUUGGUAUAAUCGCUUCACAGUAUCUUGAAAUAACUAGACUCUUUUCAUACUUCUAUGUUUCAUUGUCAGCAGGUUGCUUUUUGUGUCAUGGAUGUAAGAUGACUGGCCUCAGUUUUAGAUGUUGUAUUUAUGUCAAGGCAAGAAAGGUGCUGUCAUGUGUAUGCUUCUUUUUGAAUAGAAAAUAAGUUUUUCUAGAAGCGAUUUCAAUAAAUUGUAGUCACGUGCUAUAUUCCAUUCACCAGAAAGGUUUUACAGGGCCAUAACUGGCUGCAGUGGGACACUGGAAAAUUCACAUCUGGCAAAUGAAUACAAAAUUAUCAUGACAGCCUAGACUGGUUUUGCUUGCUCAACAUGUGUAAGGACACCAAUGUCACUCUGAACAAAAGUGGAUUCUACUAACAAGAAAAAAAGCCUGAUAAAUAAGCAACCAAAAAAAAUUUGGUAAAUGAAGGAAUUCAUUCAUACUAGUACCUUACUAUUUUGAGUUUGGGAAGAUGUUUUGGUUUUCUUUUUAAAUCCAUGACGGCUGUUGCUUACAAAACACUGGCAAGAGUAACUACAAGCUUUUCAAAUCCAUGAAAGGAAAUUUCUUCCUAUUACUAUUUUUGUGAGAAGUACUUUUUUUUAAAAAAAGUAAAUGAUAUUGACAUUUAUUGAAUUCUUUUCAUUACUUAUUAAUAUUAUAUUUAUGAAAGGUAUUAAUUGAUUUUUUUUAAUGAGAAACUAAUUUUGCAUUCCUUGGGUGUAUCCAACUCUGUCAUGAUAUAUUAUCUCUUUUACAUUUAAAAAUAUUUGUUUUAUAAAUAUUUUGUUUAUUAACUUUAUGUCCAUGUUUAUGAAUGAAAUAGGCCUCUUAUUUUCUGAUGCUUUAGUGUUCUUUUCUGAUUUGGGGACUCAGGUUAUUCUAACAUCAUAAAAUAAUUUGAAGAGUAUUCUUAUUUUUCUUCCCCAGAAAUUCUUAUAUAUGAUUAGAUUUAUUUGUUCCUUUAAUGUCGUCACUGGUUCACACUGAGCAAAGGUAACUACAACCACAGUCAAACUAUAGAAUAAUUUCAUCACCACCAAGCUACUACUUUUUUAAUGUUUAUUUAUUUUUGAGAGACAGAGUGCAAAAGGGCAAAGAGAGAGGGAGACACAGAAUCUGAAGCAGGCUACAGGCGCUGAGUUGUCAGCACAGAGCCCAAUCUGGGGCUUACACCCACAAGCUGCGAGAUCAUGACCCCAGCUGAAGUCGGACAGGAAACCGACUGAGCUACCCAAGCGUCCCACUAAGCGUCCCACCAAGACAAUAGCCAAUUGUCUAUCAUCCCACCUGCAACCCCUGGCAACUGAUAAUCUGGUUUCUGUUCUAAUACUUUUACUUCUUUUUCAGAAUAUACAGAAUUACACCUAGAAUAUAAGAAACAUCCCCCCCUCUUACUCCGCCUCUUUUUAGGAUAAGAUUUUCUCCAGUGUUUUUAAGUAUUCACUCAUAAAAUCUAUGUUUGUGUGGUUGGUAGCCUCUAACACAGUGAUCUCCCCCCCUGCUAUGAUGCUCUUGUGCAAUAUGCCCCCCUUGAAUAUAGGCUGGAUUUAUUGACUCACUUCUAAUAUGUAAUGGGAUUUCACUUUCAAGAUUAAGUUAGAAAAAGAUUGUGGUUUCCAUUUCGGUGCUCUCUCUAGAUCUCUCUCAGAUUGUUCUCUGGGGAAGCCAGCUGCCAUGAACUGAUGCAUCUAUGUGGAAAACACUGCAUGAGUGAGCUUAGAAGCAGAUCUUCUGAGACCUGCCAAGAGCCAUAGGAGUGAGGUUGGAGAGGGAUCUUCCCCAGUUGAGACUUGAGGUGAUUACAGACACCUAGAUCACAGACUUGGAAGAGACUGUGAAACAGAAAAAUUCAGCUGAGACACUCCUGGAUUCCUGACAGAGAGAAACAAUGAGAAAACAAAUAUUUGGGUUUUUUAGCUGCUAAGUUUUAGGGUAUAAUUAGUUUCCUAUGGCUGCUAUAACAAAUUACCACAAACUAGGUAGUUUAAUGUGAUUUUUGUAGAGUUCUGGAGUCUUAGAAAUCUGAAAACAAUUUCACUGUGUUGAACUGAAGGUAUCAACCAUUCCUUUGGAGGCUUUGGGGGAGAAUCUGUUUGUUGCCUCUUCUAGUUUCUGGUGGCUAUGGCAUUCAUUGGUUUGUAACUGUAUAUACUCCAAUCUCUGCCUUUGUAUUCACAUUGCCUUACUCCUCUGUGUAAUUUCCCUGUGCCUCUCUCUUAUAAGGACACAUUUGAUUGGGUUUAGGACCCACCUGAUAGUCCAGAUAAUUUCCUCAUAUCAAAAUUCUUAACUUAAUUACAUCUGGAAAAAAAAACAUUACAUAAAGUAACAUUCAUGGAUUCUAUUGAUUAAGGUUUGAUUUCUUUAGGUCCACUACCUAAGGUAAUUUGUAAUGUAAUAAUAGGUAACUAAUACACUGAUCUUUGCAGAUUUGAAUCUUCACAGGUUUAGAAUUAGCUCUUACUGCUUGAUGUCUAGCAACAAUUGACUUUUCUGAAUUUUCUCUGCCAGUUUUUUUUUAAUUAUUUUUUUUAUUUUGGCCAAAAAAUGGAGAACGUUUACUUGAAGUCAUAUCUGUCUUGUGAUAUCACCAAAAUCAGAAUCUGAUAUACAUUAUUACACUGAUUCUUUCCAACCCAUUUACUUGAAGUAUCUGGCUCAGAAGACACAUGGUCUGCCUCUCAAAUUAUUAUAGGUCACAUGUCUCCAAAUGUUUUGCUAACCAUUCCAUGUAUUCCCAUCUCUUUAAUAUUCAAUAAGAAAUUCACCAUCACUGAAUGCUGAAUUACUAAGAUAAUUUGUAUUUUAGGUUUCUUCUACCAUAGUAUACCGUUUCUGAUACCAAGUUCUGUAUUAGAUAGAAUAACAUUAGCUUUAUAAGAGAUAAACUCUAAAAUCUGUGUGAGUUAAUAAAAUAUAAAUUAAUUUCUCCUUUAUGGGAAGCCUCCAACAUACAUGGUCUCGAUUAGAAAGAAGCUCUUCUCUAAGCAGUGUUUCAAAAUUCCAUUCAAAUCAUGGCUAUUGUAUCUUUGCAAAGGGCUUCUGUAUCUCUGCACAGCAUCAUGAAGGUGGUAUUGGAAUAAGCAUGGAGAAUUAUUUGUGGGACAUGUUUAUAGUACUAGCUUGGAAGAAACAUACAUCAUUUCUGCUCACAUUUCACUGAAUAAAAUAGCAUCUGUGGCAAUUUACACUGCAUGCACUUUCUUUCGUUAACUGGAAUUAAGUUUGAGAAAUGUAAUCCAGCUGUUUUCUCAAAAGAUGAUAUGGGUUUGAUGAUCACCUAAGAAUCUCUACAACACUGUUGAUAUCCUUUUUUUGAAAUUUGGUAUAACUUGCUUGGUGGCUUUGACUGUAGUCGAUUUUCAUGAAAACUUCCAUGUAUGCAUGAAGAGAUUGCAUUGAUGACAGUAUUUGUGUGUUUCUUUGAUCAUUCUUGUUAAUUAUGUUGUUUUAACUGCCAUGUCUUCAUUAAUUUUUUUUCUCUUAUCUAUAAUUUGGUGGCCAAAUGUGUGAAAAAUCUCCUAUAAUUAUUCUAGUUUUAUGAAUUUCUCUUAUUAGUAUUUUCAGGUUUAUUAUGUAUUUGAAACUAUUUUAUUACGUGCUUACAAGUUUAAAAAUUUUAACUCCAUCCUUACGAAUUAAACAUUUUAUUAACAAAAAUAUCCACCUUUAGUAAAUUUUUGCCCUAACUGCUACCUUUUUCUGAUAUUAAUAUACCUACAAUAAUUUUCUACUGGUUUAUAUUUACCUGGUAUAUAUUUUUCUUUACUUUGUCUUAUGAUAAUUUUACAUUCUUAUAUGCUCACUACAUAUAGCUAGGUCUUUUUAAAACACACUUGGGUAAUCUUUAUCUUUUUGGUAGAAAAAAAUAUUUUUUUACAUUUAAUAUUAUCACCAAUAGAUUUAGAUUUAUGGCAAUUACUCAUCUUAUUUUGCCCAUUUUAUUUGUUGCAUAUUAUACUGGUGUUUUUUCUCCUUCAUUGAGUUUGUUGCCCCUUCCACUCACUCUUUUUCAUAUAUCUCCUAGUUUGAAAAUUAUAUAUGCUAGUGUUUUCCUUUUAUUAGUCUUCCUAGAAUUCACUAGAACUAUUUUAGCUUAUCAAAGCUCAAUAUUACUUUACUCUUCUACUAAACAAGGACUUUAAAAUGUCCUAACUGUAAUUAUCUCUUUCCCAGAUCAUAUUGCUAUGAUUUCAGUUUUAUAUCUUGAUUUUCUUAACAGUAUAAUAAAAUAUUUUUAUUGUUUUAUAUAAUUUAAUAUUUAUAUAUAAUUUUACUGUUAUUUUUGCACAUAAUUCCUUCUUAAAUCAUAUUUUUAGAACUGGCUAUCUAAUACAUAUCUAUUAGAUACAUAUGGCUAUUUAAAUUUAAGUCAAUUAAAAUUUAAAUUUAAAAUUCUCUUUCUCAGUCACAGUAGUGACAUCUCAAGAGCUCAAAGUCACAUGUAGCUUGUGCUUACUAUAUUGAGCAGGACCGUUGUAGAAUAUUUCCAUCAUUGAAGAAAAUUCCAUUAAAUAGCACUCCUUGGGGCGCCUGGGUGGCUUGGUCGGUUAAGCGUCCGACUUCGGCUCAGGUCAUGAUCUCACGGUCUGUGAGUUCGAGCCCCGCGUCGGGCUCUGUGCUGACAGCUCAGAGCCUGGAGCCUGUUUCGGAUUCUGUGUCUCCCUCUCUCUCUGCCCCUCCCCUGUUCAUGCUCUGUCUCUCUCUGUCUCAAAAAUAAAUAAACGUUUAAAAAAAAUAGCACUGCUUUAUAUAUUAUUUUAGUGACAUAUUUUUUUAAAUAGUGAAUACAAACUUUUGUUAUUUUGAAAAUGUUUUUACUUUGGACUCUUUCAUGAAAGACAAUUUAACGGAUCUAAGUUCUAAUUCAAUGGUAUUUUCUCUAAUCACUAUGAAUAUAUUAUCCACUGUAUUUGUAUUUCCAUUAUGAUACUUAGAAGGCAGCUGUUGGACUAAUGGUCAUUCAGUUGUAGGUAAUCCAUCUGAUCUCUAACUGCUUAUAAAAUUUUCUCUUUCUCUUUGGUGUUCUGCCAUUUCACAUACUCGGUCUUGAAGGACAUUUUUUACUUGUUUUUCUUGUACUUUGUAUAGCUACCUGAAUCUGUGAUUUUAUCUUUUCUCAAUUUUAGAAAACUAUUAGCUAUUACUCUUUGAUAAUUGUCUCAUUCCAGUUUUCUCUUUUAUAAUGAUAGAAAUUUAAUUUUCCACCUGUUUUUCUUGGUUUACUCUCUUAAUUUUUACUUUCUAUUUAUUUCUCUAGAUCUUUUUAUGCCUUACUUCAUAUAAUUUCUUUAUGUAUACAUUACUCAUCUCACUAAGUCCCUGUUUAUUUAAGCCCAGUUUGCAGUUUGAUCUAUUGUUGUUUUUUCUUUUUUAAAUUUCAAUUAUUGUAUUUUUAAUUUCUAAAAAUUAGAUUUUGUUUUCCAAAAUAAGCUUGGUCAAUUAUUUUCUAUUUAAAUGUUCCAUUUAUUUUCAAAGAAUGUCUUUAACUAUGUAAAAUACAUUUAUUUAAUACCAUAUUGCUUACAAUUUCAAUAUAUGAGAUCUCCAAGGACUUAUUUUGCAUGGAUGUUUUUCUGCUGAAGUUUAUGAUGGUGGAUUUCAUUUGUUUGUUUGUUUGUUUGUUUACAUAUUAUUUAUUUUUGAUAGACAGAAACAGAGCUUGAGUGGGGGAGGAGCAGAGAGAGAAGGAGACACAGAAUCCGAAGCUGACUCCAGGCUCUGAGCUGUCAGCACAGAGGCCAAUGCAGCGCUCAAACUCACUAACCAUGAGAUCAUGAUCUAAGCUGAAGUCAGACCCUUAACCAACUGAGCCACCCAGGCACCCGUGUUGAUUUUUUUUUUUAAUGGUAACUCUUAUUCCUCUGACCUCUAUUUGUUUGAAUUAUUUGAGGAUUCUAUUGAAGUACACUGUUCUAGAAAUAAUUUCUGCUUGCUUCAAUCAGUUGCCUAAAAAUGUCACCAACUUAUUACCAUUUAACCUUUUGACUUGAAGUUUUUGCACACAUUCAGGUAGAAAUUCUGGCUUCAAAACUGCAGGAUUUAAUAGAUAAAUAGUUAUGAUUCUGAGAAUCUUCUGAUAUCUGGUAAAUUUUGCCUUUUGUUCUCAUUUUUCCUUAUGCAAUUAUGUGUUAAAUUAUGUCCAAGUUUUAUGUGGGUGGAAAGUUAUCCUCCUCUUGGUCUCUGUGAUUUGCUACCAGUCUCUUUGCCAAAAGGCUUAUGAAAGUCCCUGGUGUCUCCAGACUGCCAGGGUUAAGCAGAUGUCCUCAAUGAUAAUGAAUUUCUAGAGCUCACUAACUCAUUGGGUACUCACUUUCCAGCAUUUACUGGGAAUAGGUUGUUUCCUUUGAUCCAUCACUAUCUCAGCUAGCUGGUCCCUAUAAAAAAGUUAGUGUGCUGAUAUCCUUUGCCAUUUUAUAAGUUCCAUACUUUUCAUUUUCAUAAACUAAAAUGAAUGUAAACUAAAAUGUUUGAAAAUCUUAACUAUUUUUAGCUAUGUUAUUUUUGUUUUCCAAAAUUAUUCCAUAUUGAAUUAUAUUUUCCAGAUCAAACAUAAAAUAAAUUUUAAAUUUCAAGGUAAUAUAUAUUGUCUUAGUUUAAUUCCUCAAGUUGUAUAUAGUAUAAACAAUAUGCCACAAUGAUUAGCAUUAAUCAAUUUUCCUAUAAGACACGAGUUUUAAACUGGACUCUAUAAUUCCAGAUUAGAGGUAGUGAAUCAUGUCACAAAGAGAGAUAACAGGGACAGAAGGUUGGGAAUACGCCCUCUUGUUUUAUCCUGCUCAAUGAAAUACUCGAUUUUUUCCAAUUUUACAUACUGAAAUUCCAAGCAAUAUUUCACUUGAAUAAAAAGCUGCAUCUAUUUAGGAAUGGCUUGAAAAUUACUGUUGAAAAUCCUCUAUUUUCCUUUAAUGUUUUGGGCACUGACUCAGUUGUAAAGGGGAACCUUAAUUAUCAUGCUUGAGAAUACUUUGAUUUGUAUGGUUAACUAGAUUUUUAUUGAAAUAAUAUUUAUUCAUUCAUUUGAGAGCAGGUAAUUAGGUGCUUAUUCAGAGUCCAUAAUAUAGUUUAUUAUAUAGUAUAUAAAUAAUAAAUACAAAUGCAUAGGAAUAUAUAAUAACUAUAUAUACAUAUAUAUAUAUAUUUUUUUGCAUUACAAUAUUAAUUGGUGAGGAGUUUUGUUCAUACACUUGAUUAAAUUAUGAGAUUUAGACAAUCCUGAAUGCAGCAUUCAAGUGUAGAAAGCUUUAGGAAAUAGAAAAUCCAUAAAAAUUAUUGCUAUUCAAACUGUAUGGUAAUUUGGAGUCCCUGCUAGCUCGUAUGUAUAGUGUACAAUGUUUACAUAGGUUUGAGAGUGAGAAAACAGGGAGAUGGUUGAAAAAAUGGUGAAAUUUGAAAUAGGAUUGAAAUUUGAAAUUAACAUCUUCUGGAUAUGAUAACAAUGGAACUUAAAACAGAAAUCACACUUUGAAAUAUGGUUAUUAAAUAACUCUUGGGAUGAUCUAUGACUACAUUAAAUGGCUAAUUCCUAACACCAUCUUUAACAUCUCUGGGAAGGAAAGCAGUAACAUCCUCAGAAAAGGGACAGCAUCCUGAUAGAGAUGAAGUGGAGGGGGAGCAUUUCUUAAAAAUAUAUGAAAUUUCUAUCAUAAAAUCAAAAACAUUCUUUCUAUAAAUAUUUAUUUUGACCACUGAAAUGAACCAGAAUUUCACAAACUAUCUAUGUUUCCCACCUGCUACAGAUGGCAAAAAAGUGCUUGGUUGCCAAAGGUGUAAUCUCUUGAGGGCUGAAAAAUAAAUGAUUUAUUCUAAGACAACAAAGACAUGGUUUCUUACCAGCUGUCCAGUUUAGAUGUCGAAUUCUAAGAAGAAUUCCCAUGAGCAAUUUUGUAUCUGUUACAAGUUUAUUAGAGAGGGGCAUGCUACGUCUUAGUGGUCAUUUCCAAAGAGAGUCGUAAUAGUACUUAAUUUUGUAAGAAUCUGAUUAAAAAUUAAGUACAUGGUUCUCUGUCCAAAGAGUUAGCUGACUACAGAUUUGCAGCGCUCUGAAAGAAACACUUUUAGAUGUAAGUGUGUUAUAUGCAUACUGGCAUUAAGAUAGGAGAGAUGAUUUCCAUCAUUCUAGAUGUAUAACAAAUCCAGUUCUAUAAUUAAAUCAUAACUUAUGCCAUCAAACUUGAGAAUCUUAGGGAAUUAAGACCAUAUUACGCAUCUCCAUUAAUUCUGCCUAAAUAUAUUAUUUGGCAGUAUUAAAAGCUAUUUGCUCUCUAUUGGAAAAGUACAGAUUAUAGCAGACCUCAUUUGCUACCAACGAAUGAGAGGAUAGAAAGAAGAUUACCAGUUAGAAAAUACACCAAUGAAAAUUUACUGUUCAGCCAAUUAUUUGAUUAAAUAUGUUUUGAAUAAAGUAUUCCACUUUUAAAAUGCACAUUUUGGAUUAUAUUUGUCAUUGAAUCAGUGAGACUUUCCUUUUAUAUUAGACUUUUUUUCUCUUAAAAAUAAUUUCAUUGCAUAUUUCUAGCUCCUGAUGUAAAGCAAGAACAUCUCUCUCAAUCCUUCUAAAUCAUUAUAGAAAUUAUAUAAAAAUGGUUUACUUAAUAAUUAUAAAAUUAUUUCAGCUUUAACGGUGUUAGAGUAUAUGAAAGAUUGCAUGGGAAAUUUUACAUGAUUCCAGCAAUACUGAUAGCAGGUAAAUAUGACUAGGGGAGACUCAGAACAGAGGAAAUACUGGUCUGAGUCACUGGAGCUAAGUGAGGCUCUUCUCAAGGAAGCCUCAGAGAGCUUUUACAUCAAGAGUGGUGGAGAGGGGAAGCAUCAGAUUAAUUUAUUAAAGAACUGUAUUAAAACAACUUGGCUAUUAGGACAACUUUUGUUUUACACUCUGUAAAUACAGCAGCUUUUGCCCAUAGCACAGAGCUGGAGAGACCUAUUGUUAAAUGACUUGAUAGCUACAUAGAGAGAUGGGAAUUUAGGAAGGUGCUUCGUCCUAAUAAAGUAGUGAACAGAGUAAGGCAUCAACUGAAACUCAUCAACAGAAAAGGAGGAAACAAUAUGUGGGAGAAUAGGGAGACAAUUUGGCAGAGCAAUAAAAUAAACUGAAUUGCUUCAUCUUUCCAGAGUAAAACCCCAUUUAUGUGGCAGUCAGAUUCGAUGUUCACCCUGUCGGCUUUCCUCCCAUAUUCCAGUUUGUGAAUCCUGCCUGUUGAAAUACCAGCUCCAGUUAUAAACAAAUAGUUCACUUUCAAUCAAAAGAGAGGUUAGUUUGGAAAGCAUUCCUGUACCCGGUUUAAUAUUAACCUUUGCCAGCUACCUACUUUAACAUAAUCCUUAGUUAAUAAAUUCAUCUGAAUAACCAAGGACACAGGCUUUGAAGUAAAACCCUCAGCAUAAAAGCAAAGACCCGACAUGAACCAAGAGAUGGACUGUAGGAAAAAAGAUAAUGCAGCUAUAAACAUAAAAACAAAUUCCAAUUAUUGUCCCCAGAAACAUUCAAUAGGUAUUUCCUGAAUAAAACUAAAACUGUUUAAUAUAGAAAGUGGUGUGAGAGACACAUGGAGGAAACUGAACAUAUCUUUUUUGAGAUAGUGAUUCUGUUUCCUUUGGAAAAAUACCCAAAAGUAGAAUUGCUGGGCCUAUAGCAGUUCUAUUUUUUUAAUUUUUGAGGAACUUCUGUACUUUUCUCCAUAGUUGCUGCAUCACUUUAUUCUCACCAAUGUAAUACUCUAAUUUUUGUUUUUGUGUUAUCUUUAUAAUUUAAAAAAAUUAUAGAGUGCAUUGAGACUUUAUAAAGUUGUGAAAGAUUAAAAACACACUAUGUGCUUACUCUUUAUUUCUGCUUCUUCCUCCAAAAUACUGAUAGUUCCUUAUAAGUUUGCAAGCUUUUAAAUAACUAUAGUCAAUUUGUCUAUAUUUUUCUAAAAAUAGUCCCUAAAUAGAUGAUCUAAUAAAUCCAGUGUAUGAAAGCAAUUUGUUAAUACCACUGAACCAAUAAGUAAUACUGUGCCUUAUUUGUGCAUGCUUGAUUGUAUACACAAUAUGAAAGAUGGACACGGAGACCAACUGCUUUUUAAACUACCAAGUGGAAGUUUCACCUGUCUAUUUUCACAUAUCCUUGUCAGUCUAAACUGCAGCUAUAGGAAAAGUUACCCAUAUGUAUAUAAAACACUAAGCAUUUAAAGAGUGCUAAAGAAUUUGAAAUGUACAGUCCCUAUUUCUUUUCUCUGUGUAGCCAAUUAUUGCUGAGAAUAACUACUCAUUGAUGUAGCUCAGUUACUCUUAUUUUUUGGAAAUUUAUGUAAAGGAAACAGUUCUACUUGCAGGAAUAACAAUAUAUAUACAACAUUAGUUUCCUAUGUCUUAAAGCGCCUGAGAACCUUAUGUUUGUAAAAUAUUUCCUUUUGGGUCGUGAUUUAUUUUUAUUCAGUUUUGGUUUAUAUGAAUCUGGUUUAAGUUCUUAUGGCUAUCAGAACAUAACAUAAAGAUUCACAAUUCCCCAGACAGUGUCUCUACAUUCAUUUGUUGUAGACUGGAUAGAAAACGUUUUGCAAGAGACCCAAUCUAUAGCUUUAAAAUUCUUAGACACAAAUGGUAUAUUCUACCUAAAAUUCAAAGUCCAAAAGAAAUUGCAGUACCUAAACUGACACUGAAAAUUGACUGGUCUUGGUGAAAUAGGGAUUGCUAUCAGCUUUGUAACUAGUGAGUAGAUACACAUUUUGGGGGAGUUAAUAAUUUGUCAAAUUGGUCAUGCAGCAAAUUGGUCUUGUGAUGAAUGGUUAUUGGUGAAUGGAUUUUCUGCAAAUUGAUCUACAGGCAUUUACUUCACCACUCCAGAGUGAUGACCCAAAAGGUCAUCCUCACCAUUGUGACAAGCUACUGAAAAGUAUAUGCAAGGAUAUACAGAGAUACUUGCACAGAUGAUCUAGAGAACACCAUGCCAUACCUGUAGGUUUGCACUGCUGCUGUGGAGAGGGUUUCUAUAGUUUUAACAAUGAAUAUAGAUUGCUUUUGAAAUUAUAUCAAAUAAAUGAAUGGACAGCCAUAUAAAUUAUUGGCUUAUUUAUAAUGAAACUGAAAUCAAAUAAUUUCUCCAUAGGUCAUUUUUAGUCCAGUCAUUUUUUAAAUUUGUUUUUAAUAUGUCCCAAUUCAUAGAUCUCAUACAGGUGCACAAAGAUAACCAAUUCUAAGAAAUUUUCACUUUAAUAUUAAUUUAAGGGGAUGAUUGGGAAAACCAAUCUAAUUGGGAAAACUAAUGCUAGUUGUGGGCAUACUCAUUCUAAUAGAUUCAUAUUGUGGGAUAAAUUUAAUUGAAUAGAUAGUUGGAAUUGUCUUUUUUCCUUUGUUGUACUUGUGUGUCCCUUUACUAACCAUUUUUUAAGAAGUCCAACAUUAGUUCCUUCUUCUAUGGUAUUUUCCUUUCAUAUGAAUUUUUCUUGUACGGACAUUUUAUUUUUUUCCUUUCUUUGGAGGAGCAUAAAGUGCAUUUUUGUGCCUCCUUUGUGCUUAUGCUGCUUGGGUUACAUGAUCCUACUUCAGGAACUACUUGACCUAUAAGUGUGUGGCUUUGUGUAGUUUUUUCAGACUCUUCUUUUUAACCUGCAGCUCUCCAAAUGUGGCUAUUUUCUAUUACCUGGUUUCUGAGCUAUGUUUCUUAUCCUGCAUCAGAAACUUGGCUUCGAUCUCUGGUUGACUUCUAUUUCAUUUUCUUUGGCUUAUCCUCCCUUCGUUUGUAUUAAUGUCUUCCUUCUCCAUUCCCGUUUCCCUCAUAUUUAGACUUCACACGAAGCUGACUGCUCAAAAAUAAAUAUGCUUCAUCUCACUUACUCCACAAGAGCUGUCUUCUUCCUGCUGUAGCUCUUGUUUAGGCUCAGCUACUUUUUACAUGGUGCCUCUUAUCUUUUCUCAUCACAACGUGAAAACCAUCUUCUUUAUUUUUCACAUCUAUUUUUAAAACCUCUCUUAUUUCCUUUAUCUUCUAGAGCCCCCAAAGACUCCUCUGGUGAUGAUACGAACUGAGAAAUUUAUUGUGUGUUUUUCUUCCUUGAGUCGGUGAAACCAGGCACACUUUGCCCGCCCAGGUUUCUUAGGAAAUAUUCUGUGGGAAUUUGAGUAACCAUAUCCUUUUAAUCACAAAGUUUGCAGCCAUUUCCAAUUUGAGAGAAGGAACUAAGAGUCAGUUUAAAACAGUAUUAAGAGCACCGGCUUUGGAUUCAAACUUCAUCUGUACUCCCAAUUUUCCCACUUCUAGAGUUGGGGUCUUAGGGAACUUCGUGUAUCCUCUUUCAGCUUGUGUUUUUCCUUUGCAAUAUUAUUAGUACACAUGAUAACUUGUGUAUAUGCAUGUGUGAAUGAAAUGGUAUUUAUGAGAACACUUGGGUAAAUGUAUGGCACAUUAUUAACACUUAGUAAAUAAAUGCUCUAAUUAGUAAUUCUUAUUUUUAAUAUGCAAUUAUUCUUUGUGUCAUAAACAUCACGUCAAAUAAUGUCCUAAGCCUCAUACCGAGCAUUAUUUGUGCACAGUUGUUUAAUUAUUGUUCCUUCCCCUCACUCCAUGCAGAGUUACAUAUAACGUAGAUAAUUUAUUCUUACGUUGCCAUUACUCUAUAACUUACUACCAAGUCCAAGACACAAAACUGUGUACCAAUUUAACCAUAACUGUUGAUUUAUCCCAAUUUGCCUUAAUUAUUUCACAACCUCUCCUGUGUCCAUUGGCUCAUUAUAAAAAAGAAACAAUUUUUUAUUUUGACCUACUAAGUUGAAUCUCAUCCAUAUUGAACUAGUUUUUUUCAAUGAUAAAAAUUUGUAUUUGUUUUUUUGUUUCUCAAUAUGAACCUUUCAGUGGCCUCCUAAGCAAUUGAAUUGUUUUAGUUAUAGCACCUUCAAAUUCAUUAAAAUUGAAUAUUUAUGCCUCAGUACAUUGUUUCUUUCUGGGGAAAUGACUAAUAUUUGUAAAAAUGACACUGGCAAUGUCUUUCUGCUCUUCUCUUCCAUCAGGAUUUUAUAUCACUUACUCAAUUCUGCUCCUCUUUGCAAACCUCAUCCCCAUGGCCUUUUAAGGAAGAAAACUGGCAAAUAAGAACACCUUUUUUUUCUUUCUUUUUCCUUCUUAUUUUGUAAUUUUAACACCCCAAUCCACUUACCAUCCUUUUUUCAUUCUUCAUUAUUUUGAUUUCUUUCAUGUCUUCAAUUGUAGAUGGCUAAUGAUCCUUUCUUUAUCCUUUAUUCAGAUAAUCAGAGAAGUUUGGGACCCCCCUUAUCUUGUCCAUUGCUCUUGUCCUGAUGUUCUUCUGGAAGCUACUUUCUAACAGGUUUUUUAUCAUGGCAUAUGCCUACAUCAUGAUUUAACUUCCAUUGCUUCCUAUACUGCCCCACAUUACCCUCCUCAUCAUGCUGUGUUCUCCUUGGCUUUUCUCAGGAUCUACAACCUAUGGUAGGAGAUGUCACUUCAGAUUCACAGAAUUUCUUAAAAAAUAGUUUGACUGUGUGAAACUUUCUCCUGCUCUGCCAGGUGACACUCAGAGAAGCUGUCUCUUACAGAAAACUCAUAAUAACUUGAUUUAUGCUUUAAUAUAGUUAUAAUUUCCAGCCUUGCACUUUAACUUUCAAAAAUAUAGAGAGAGCACAUUCCACGUGACCUAGACAUUCAUGCACUUCAUGGAAGGGGUUGCAAAGUGACCAAGGUAUGACUUGUUAAAUGAGUUUUCAUCAGUUGAUUAUUCACCACUUCCCUUCAAGUAAAGUAAAAAUAUUGAGAAUAUUGAGAUCUUUUUCUGGUAUGAGUAGGUUUAGUGCUUCUAGACUGCAAUUAUGUCUACAGCAAGGGUAGUUCAAAGAAGUAGUGAAUUAUGUAUUAUUUGUAUAUAUUAUUAAUUAUAUUAUAUUAUAUUAUAUAUUUUAGAUAGUGAUUUUAUAAUAAUUUUUAUAUUAUUUGGUAUUGUAUUUAUAUAAUAUCAAUAUAUAUGACAUCUAUUAAAUAUAUAUAUUCUAUAUUUACUAUUAGACAGGAACAGAUAACAGAAGUAGUUGGCUGGUUUUCUUCACUGAGAUUGUGAGAAUUUAUAAGAGGGGCAAUCUUAGGUUUUCAUUACUUAAAAAGCCUCCACAAGUUUUACAGGGUAAAGUUACUCUAACGAAUCUUUUCAACUCAGUAACCCAGAUUUCAUAAAAUACUUGUGCCUAUUACUUUCACACAGAGCUAGCAUUGUACCAAAGAAAAUCUCCAUAGCCUUUCUUUUCUUUGACUUAACGGCUGAUCAUAUUCCUCCAUAAGGCCUUCUGUAAACACACUGCACAAAGUCCCUAAGGAUGUGACUUGUAACAAGUUUUUGGUAGUGUGUGGCGUGAAAUCACCACACGCACAAGGCUGAUGGUUGAGAACCCAUUCACAGAACAGCAUGGGAAAGCACAAGCCUCUCAAGAAGUCAAAAUGUACUUUUGCAAUGUGGCAAAUUGCAAUCCACAGGAGAUGAUGGCAGCCAAAGGAGAAUGUCUCCUUUGCAAGAUUUAGGAGGGAAAGUCAAGGGCUUUAUGACGCAGAAUCAUUUUUUUUUUCCUUCAAUAAAGAAACCCUGUAAUGAGUGUUUCCACAUUCAUUGCUGAGGCAUGGUUUAAAGAACCGGAUUGGCAGAUUUAACAUCCUGGUCAGAUACUCUUCCCUGAGUUUUUCCUUCUCACUGCUUUUCCUAGGUGCCAGCUGGGGAGGCUGCCUGGUGACAACCAGAUGAUAUGUACCUACGGCCUGUCGGUGUUUAAUCCACAUGCAAGUGAGCAGUAAACACUUUAACAGUAACUCCUAGAAGACAUUAGACAGAGAAGGUGAAGUCCCAACAACCGUUGUGGUGGAACGAGGUUGGUGUUUCCUGAUAAACAAAGGAGGAAACAACUGUAAAGGGAAAGGAAGAUGAGAAAUAUAGGUGAUUGUUGCAAGCAACAUUUACCAUCUAAGAUAUUUUCCCACGAAGAAGGAAGGAAACAAAUAAACUCAUUCCCACAACAGAUGAAGCAGACAACUUGCAGAGGGUGCUUUGUGGAAGGCAUUCCAUUGAAAAGGUCUUCUGAAAAGACACUGACAGGUUUUCUUUCCCUACCUUUGCCAUUUCCCAGGUGUAAGCAAUAUAAAUUAUAAUAGAUGUAGCCAGAAGAAGAGAAAUGAUUGGUGAAAUCUGUGUAAUCA
rnacentral:lncRNA from 1 species